rnacentral:lncRNA from 1 species
AUUUUUUUUUUGUUUCUUUCUCUUCAACCACAUUUUUAGAAAGCUACCAUUUUUCUGUCUUUACGUUUUAUGUUAAAAUAAAAGUGCUACUAAAUUUUUCCUAAAUAGGUCUUACAAAUUCAGCGGCAACAAAAGAAAAUGCAAAAUAAAACACAAAAUUGUAAGAUCAAGUGAAAGGUACGUACAAUUCCAGGAUCAGCCAGAGAAGCAACAAGUAUUUUGAAAAGCAAGAUGAAGUAGAUGAAGUGAAGUCUUCAAAAUAAUAAUAGAAUUUUAAAGUAAUUGAACUUGGUAGUUACAAACAUGGUGAAAUGGUGAGGUAGGAAUAAAAUAUGUUCAUAGGGAGACAAUUAACGAAAAAAGAGUAGGUUUGUAUCAGUUUCAUGGUGUUAGGGAUAUAUUUAGAUCGAUAGUAUAAUGAGUAUAUUUUCCCGUACUUUCUACCAAUGAUUUACAACUCAAUUCUCAAAUGCAUCCACCUAAAUUGAAGUAUUCUAUCUAUAGUACAAGUUGCUAUUAUACAAUAAAUUUCAUUCUUUUAGAUUUAACUUGCAAUAAAGUAUUCAUUGUACCAAAUAAAGCUGAAUUUUAUAAUGAAAAAAAGAAAUAAAAUACGAUUGAAAAUGUGAUAAUAGUACUAGCACAUCUUUCCAACAAACAAAGAAUAACUUCCACAUACCAUUAAAACAAAAAAGUACGAUGACAUGAAAUAACAAACGAUGCGCAACAAAGUAAGAAAAAACAAUAAUUACGUUUUAGUCCAAAACAAGUUGAGAUAGAUUAUAUAAAUAAAACAAAAUGAAAAAUAGAACAAUAGAAAUAUUAUGACGGUAGAUCAUUCAAUGUCAUUGUAAAUUCCAUCAUUCUUCUCUCCCGCCUCGUUGUCAUGGCCUUCUGGUGUUGCAUUAGAGCUCGAGGAAGUAGAUGCAUACUGUUGAUUGAGUUGUUUCUUCCUCUCAUCAAGUUUAGCCAUUAUACGAGUAGAAAACUUUAAUAAAUCUUCUAUUUGUGCGACAUCAAGGUCACUGGUAUUAAUUUUUGCCUCGAAAAAUUGAUUGAAGAGUAUUUCCAUUUCUUUCUCCUUAUUUUUUCGCGCGAUUCUCCUAAUAUUUUCUUCUUCAAGAUUUUUUAUUUUGUUUUCAAGGUAGGUUUCAUGUAAAACUAAUUUCUUUGAUCUUUCAUACUCAGAGUGACUUAAAUACUCAGUAAUUCUAACCAUAGCCUCACUUUCAUCUGGCCAAACAAUAGGAAAGGUUUCUCCUGGACAAAAAAUAAUUAUUGUAACCAUUACCUCACAUAGAGUGGACAAAUCCUUUGCCAUUUUAAACAAAGUAGCAAUUUUUCUUUUUUCUUUGGUUUUUCUCUGCCUUUCACUGCAAACCUUAGUAUUCUUAAGCCCCUCUUCACUCAUGUUUCCUACACACACACAAAAGAGCACUAUGUUUGGGAGUAAAAUUAUGAAUUAAUACUUUAUUGUAGAUGUGGAAGAGAAGCAAUGGGAUUUAUAUAGAUGUAUAGUUGGGUUUGUUAAUACCAUAUAGUGAAAUGAUUUCAUGUAGAUUUUGAUAAUAUAGUGAAUUUGGUAAUAAAGACAAUUUGGUUUUUGAAAAUUGGAAGAAUAUUUAAUUAUUUUCUUAAAAUAAUUGAAAAUUCAAGAUUUAAACUACAUUUUCAGAACCAUAUUCCAUAUUGCACAAUUUGGAAAGUAUUAAGACUGAAGUAUAGUUGACUUACUAAUAAAGUGAAAAUAUAGAAACUAAAUCUACUUCUUUUAAUGUUUUUGAUCAAUGUAUUAAUUAAUGAUUUUCUUAUUUAGACAUUUGAAGUAAUCCCAACGGUAAGAUGUACGUAGUUAUUAUGACACCAGUCUUAGGCUUUAGGGUACGCGCGUUGUACGUGUACCUGUAACAUGAAUAUACAAGUUAAAAUUAAUAAAUAUUACUAAAUAAUAUGUUUAAGUUAUAAAUAUUUUUUUUUAAAAGUGUCAAUUCUUGAAAAUAAUUAGUGUUAAUCAUAUUUAACUAGAUCAACUACGAAAAACUCCUUUCAUAAAAUAUUUUUAGACAUAUAAUGCACAUAAUUCUAAAAUAAAAUAUUGAUGGAAAACAUAAAUCCAAUCAAACAACACAUACAUUUAAUUAAAAUUUGGCUAAUUUAUAACUUCUUCCUUAGCGCCAAAGAGAAUGUCGUAAUCAAUUUGAACACCAAUACAUAUAGCUUUCACUAAUUUAUCAAAAUUGUAAGUGGACAAACUCUAAUUGAAUUUAAAGUUCACUAUAAGCUAAAAUCAAAAUAUUAAUAUAUUUAAUAUAAGAUAAUUUUAAUUAAUUUACUUCAACCUAAUGAUUAAUCGAGCUUUUUAAGCACAUCCUUUUAUUAGUUGAAAUUAAUAACAUAAAAACCAAUAAAAAGAGGAAACAAAAACAGAGAACUAGUAAUGCUGGUUCCAUGUCUUAGAAAUAAAAAGGCACCUUACGGUAUAAUUUUACUUUUUAGAAAAACUCCUAACCUAAAUAUCUUAAGGUUAGAUCUUAACUUAAAUUUCUUAGACUUUAAUAGUUGUUCUAAAUGAAGCCUAAAAUAAUUAAAAUAACAUGUUACGUGUACAAAAUAGUUUUAGCUGUAAUCCGUUAUAAUUUAAUAACAAAAAAGAAAAGAGUCCUAAAAUAAAAAGGAGUUCAAACUAUUAGUUGUAAAGAACUUUAUAAAAUAAUGUGUUUUAUUUUUUGUUAUAUAUUUUACAAAUAAGGAAAGAUUUAAUAUACAAAUUUAGUUGGCUUUGAAGGCUUAAUUAAAUGAUUACUCAUAAAUAUUAGGAAAAUAAUUAAAUGACUAUUUUAUUAUAAUGACUCGGCCAGACAUUUCGGGAGUUAUAAUCAUGUUCCCCCAUUUCCUGCUUUUUUUUGUAUUCUUCAGCUAUACCAUGAUUUACCGGGUUAGUUGAUUCGGGUUCAGAGUGGUUUCGGAGUGAAUUGAGACACAUAGACUCUUAAUUGAAAGCUUAAGUUGGAAAAAAUUGAUCGGAUGUUGACUUAUGGGUAAACAAUCUCUGAUUCGAAUUUUGAUGUUUUUGUUAACUCCGUCAGGUGAUUUAAGACUUGGGAGUGAAGGUCUGUGGUAGAAUUAGGCUUGAAUUGACGAAAGCUAGAAUUUUGGCGAUUUUGGAUGGCAGUGGCAAUUUUGAUAUCAGGGUAGGACCUGGAUUUUUAGAAGUUGAAGUAGGUUCAUGGUGUCAUUUCUGACUUGUGUACAAAAUUUGAGGUCAUUCGGAUGUGGUUUGGUAGGUUUCGACAUCGUUUGUGGAACUCGAAAGUUUAGAAGUUCUUUAGGCUUGAAUCAUGGUGUAAUUUGAUGUUAUUUUGAGUGUUUUGAAGGUUCUACUAAGUUUGUAUGAUGCUAUAGGAUCAGUUGACAUAUUUGGUUGUGGUCUUGAGGGUCUCGGAGUGAUUUCGGGUAGUUAUCAGAUUGUUUUGAGUUGAAGAAGUGCAGUUGAAGCUGUCGUUUCUGGUGUGACUGCACCUGCGGAGGGGGAACCGUAGGUUCAAGGCCGUAGAAGCGAAGGAGGAGUCGCAAGUGCGGCUAAGGAAGACAUAGGCAGAGGACUCAUAUGCGAUGGCAUUACCGUAUCUGCGGCAGUCGCUGAAACGGGCCCAGGGGCACAGAUGCGAGUUUGGACAGCAGAAGCGAGAUGGUUUUCGCACUUGCUGAAGGUGCAGAUUCGAUCUUGAGGCCACAGGAGCAAGGUCAGGAUUAUAAGUGACAUUCGCAUCUGCGAUGGAAUUUUCGCAGGUGCGUCAUCACAGAAGCGAUAAAUGGACCGUAGGUGCGGUAUUGUUACGCAGAAAAAUACCAUCUCGAGGUUUUGUCUUUUAUUUCAGUUUUCGACUUGAGAAGCUCGGGAGAGAGGCGAUUUUUCGAGGAAUUUCAAGGAAAAACGUUGGGUAAGUAAUUCUAACCCGUAUUGGUCUAAAUUUCGUGAAUCUAUGGAUUUAUUCAUCACAACAACAACAACAACAAUAACAAUAACAACAACCCAGUAUAAUCCCACUUAGUGGGGUCUGGGGAGGGUAGUAUGUAUGCAGACCUUACCCCUACCUUGGGGUAGAGAGGCUGUUUCCAUAUAGACCCCCGGCAUCCUUCACUUCAAGAACUUCCCACCUUGCUCUUGGGGAGACUCGAACUCACAACCUCUCGGUUGGAAGUGGGGCUCUCGAGUUUUGCAACUUUUGUUGGAUUUCGAAAUGUGGGCUUGGGGGGGGGGGAUAUAGUCGAUUUCGGAUUUUGAUUCUAAUUUGAUAGUUUUCUUGUGGAAUUGACCCCUUUAGCCUAUAUUGAUAGUAUUGUAUUACUUGUGGUUGUUUCAGGAUGUUUGGAGGCCAAUUUGAGAGUCAAGGGCACUGUGGAGUAGGAUUUUUCUUGGUUUGAGGUAAUGCACAUGCCAAGUGACGGGCGUGCACUGUGAGAAUUAUGACCUGGGUGAUUUCUAUGGCAUCACUUAGUGACUCUAUCUUGUUGAUAUUCAUGUUUUCAUUAUGUGAUGAAGUAGUCGUGCUGUAAAUCAUGCUAUAUAUCAUGUUUAUGCUUUAUGUCGGGAUUGUUCGGACUCUUAGUGGUCGUUUCUUUCUGUAAUCUCACUAUUUUCAUUAAUAUUCCCUACUCAGUCAUGUUCAUGCAUUUUAUAUCAUAUCUUAGUUAUUUAUUGAUUCAUCAUAUAUUACUGUUCCGGGUUUGUUUUCAUGACAUUGUGAGUCCGUAGGUGAGAUUGGAGAGGUUGAUGACCGAGUGAGGCCGAGAGCCUGAGUAUGAGUGACAGUUAUGGGAUCGGACUGCACGCCGCAAUGGUUAUAUUAAUGAUUAUGAUAGCAUUUGUGUUGUAUGAGCUCCUCCGAAGUCUGAGUAUUAUCAUAUUAUACAAAUAUACCAGUAGUGCCCUGACCUGAUAUUUUUACUACUCGACCGAGGUUAGGCUUGGCACUUACUAGGUACCGAUAUGGUGUACUCAUGCCCUUUCCUGCACAUGUUUUUCGUGUACAGAUCCAAGUACCUCUUGUCAGGCCUCCUUUUUCUUUGCGGAAUCGGGUUUAUGACAUUUGGUUGGGACAACUCUUUCCUUUUGGAAAGGGGUUUUGCCCUUUUUUGAAGAGUUGCCAUCUAACGAUUUUAGCUGUGUUAGGGAACCUAUAAGGUUUAUUUAUAACUAUGUUUGUUAAUCUGAGACUGGGUAAGGGCUUGAAAUUAUCCUAAUAGGAAGGAAUUAGGCACCCCUCAAGAUCCACUAGUGUGGUUAUCGGUCAAAUAGUAUUUUGUGAAUCUGUACAAUUAGCAAAUAAACAAGUAUGGCUCAAAUAGUAGGGGAUUUAGGUUUAAAUACACAGGUGUAAGAAAAUAACUUAUGAAAAAAGUUAUAUUUUUAAAAGAAUUACAAUCUAAGCAUAUUUGUGAAUGAAAGAGGGUGCCCUGGGUUUGUAUAUAAUAUGGAUCACAUCAAUGCAAUAUCCGCUAUGACACUCCACAAUGAUGGACUAGACGUGGAACUAAUGCACAGGUCAUCAUAUCUAUAUCUACCCUUUCCCUCCCCGUGAAGGUAAUUAAAGCAACGGUUGGUCUUGACCCUAUUUCAUGAUGUUACUCGUCCAUUCCUAUCAGCCUUAGAGGAAUUUAGGACUCUUAUACUAUAAGAAGGGGGUUCCAAGCAGACUCUUAAGUUUAAAGAUAAAAUACUAAGUGAUAUAUAAUAAACAAGUAGGACUUCAAUUAAAGGGAGCAUAAAGGACAAAGGAAAGGCUCAGAUAUACCUCCACACACAAUACAUAUAAAUCGCAUGGCACAUACAUAAUUAAGGUCUAAAUUUAGAUCAUAUGCAUGGUAUCUAAAUGAUAACAGCCGAAUAAGGUUUAUAAAACGACUCAAAAAAGAAGUCUGAAUCAGGCUUGCCUACUGAUUAACAUGCUGGAAAUCAAACAUUAAUCACAAAUACAGUUCUGGUAUUAUUUCAAACUUGACUAUCUAAGGCUUACCUAGGCAUUAAAUAAUAGGCAGCAGUUACCAAAAUCAUUAAAACAGUUUUGGAGGUUAUUUUACUUAAAGCAUGUUGUUCUAAACGUUGCAAAGACAUGCAGGGAUUGUCAUCAAUUUUCCUAAAAAUCGGAUAAUCAAACAUGAGACUGUUUUAUGCCAUUUCCAUGCGUUCAUAGAUUAAAUACGUUUAACCGAGCGAGUGUAAAUGAGAUCCUAAAAUAGGGUAUCUAACAUGCACACAUGAAGAUGGACAAUGAUUUCAGGUUCCCAAAUCAUGAUGUCUAAAUGCCCAAAAGUUACAACAUGAUUUCAAGAUGUGCAGGAGCAACAGUUUUAUAUUGAUGCUUUUAUUUAGCCUAAAGCAUGGUUUCUAAGAUGUAAAGUGAUGCCAAAUGAGAUGUUGAAACAGUAAGAACAUGGUAUCUAAUACAUAACAUGCAUUAAAUGGGUUGAUCUUACACAUGGAUUCUAAUGCACACAUAGGAAAUGUAAACCUAAGACAUAGUUUUUACCCAUUGAUGUUGAUAGCAUGUAUAACUACCCUCCCACUUUCACUAUCCAACCCCAAUACUUGCUUACAACAAGUUAUUACAGACCAACAUUGAAAUAAAUUGCAUAAGUAGAAAAGAAAAAUAAAAAGUUACACUAUAAACAGCCCCAGUCUUUCAGCAUUUGAUUAGGACUUACUCCCUGAGUUAUAUAAUAAAUCACCUCAUGUGCCAUGAUUGUUCCAUAGCCUUUCCCAUGUCUAGGUGUGUCAUAGUUCCCUAAGGAUACCCAGAUUUCAUAGUCAUGACAAAGUAAGUACAGUGUGAAAGGUCAUCUUUUAUGUGUCCAAGUUUAGAAAGAGCUCAAGGGUCCCAAGGCAAGGCUAACACAAAAGGGGCAAAACUUAAUGGUCUAAGAGUAGAGUGAAAGUACUUGACAUAGGUUUAAAAGAGUUGAGUUGGAAACAAUUUUGACAAUGAUUAGUUUGAAACAAGUUUUGGAAAGCAAUAAAUUUGCCUUAGUGAAAACUAGUUUGAAGAAGAAAAGAAAUAGGACAAUCAGCAACUCAAAACCAAAUCAACAUAUAUAGUUUAAACACAAACAGGUAACGGAGGAAUUGGGGACAAGUAGUUCACAUAUGAAAGCAUAUUUGCACACAAGUUGACACCAAACAAGUCCUACCGAUCUUAUAUAAUCACAACAAUAGUCUUAUCACAACGUAUUCAUGCCAGGAGCUUAACAAAAUUAGAUUUAAUUGGUGCUAAAAAGAGUUACACAUUAGGUUUAGGGGGAAAGGGUUAAGGAUCACAUAGUAACUAGGUGUCAUGAACACAUGCUUAUAAUGUCUUGGGGGUUAGGGUGUAGGGAAAGUAGUAGUAGAACUUGUAAUAAAGCAAUAGACAUGCUGAAUUACAGGGAAAGGGUAAUCACAUGGCAAAAUAGGCAUGCUAAUUGCAAGGGAGGAAGCAGAACCACAAGUAGAGCCAUAAGAGAAACAAGGAAGUACAAUACAAAUAGAGACAUAUUGUUUUGGAUGUUGUAAAUUAAACUGAAAACAUACAAGUAAAAAGGAGAGAAUAAGUGUAGGGUGAGGAGUAAAGAGCAGUACAAUGAAGGGAAGUAGAGCAGUAGAGUGUAGAGUAGUAGAGCAGUUGUAUAAUAGAGAAGUAGAGCAAUGUAACCACUUAAUUUUGGCUUGCAACCAACUGAGUAUCAAGUAAAUAGCAAGAGAAGCAAGAGAGUAUGUAUAUAUGUAAGAGAGAGUUUAGAACAAUGUUCUUGUUCUCUUGUUCGUGUGUUGAGAUUGUAGAAGAGAGUCAUUUAUAUAGUAGUUUGAAAAGUGGUUAAAAUAGGGCAAGAAUCAAUUCUUUAGUAAUUAUAGGAUAUGAAAAAUUGAUUCAAAUCUCCCUUUAAUAAGAGAUUCAGUGUAAAUGGUAAAGAACAGGUGGCAAGUAAGGAAAGAAACCAUACACGGCUAAAGCAUAGAAAAUAAGGAAUUUCAAAAUAGUACAAGUAUAGAACACGUAAUUAGGACUAGGUUCAGAAAGUUUUAACUAAGGAAAUAAUCAUUAAGAAUUAAGUAGCAAUGUAGACAAUGCAAGGGAAAAUUAAUUAAAGCAAACAACUAAUCAAAAUAAGUGGAAAGGUAGCAGUAUGGGGUCCAAAGGAAAAUGUUCAAAUUACACCAAGUAAUAAGGAAUUCAGAAUCAAUCAAAGAGAAAGUCAUGCAAAAGAGUCAGCAUGUUUAAUAUAUAAAUAGAGUAAUACAUGGGUAGUCAAGAAUUGGCACACAACUCUAGCAAAACAUGAAGAUCAAAUGAUACUAAAUCAGUGAGAAAGAUGUAAGUCUUGAUGCGAACAGCCAAGAUGAACACAAAAAAAUAGAUUGGUGUAAGUCUAGCUUGGGAAACUCAGUAGAAGCAUAUCAAAGCAAGGCAGUCACAAGAAAUUACAAGAACUCAAAAGAAACAUGAGAGUCAGUAAGUCAUGCUAAUACAUAGAAACCAAACGAAGAACCCUAAAAAAUAGGCUUUUUGACAUAGGCUAAUUAGGGUCAAGGAAGAACUCAACAAAAUUAGUCAAAACACAUAGACAUAGGGGAGUAAGCACUUAAAACUAAAAAGUGCUCUGAAGAAAAAGAUUUUCAUAAACCCUACUUUAUAAAGAUGACAAGCCACUCGAGAAUCAGGAGAUUUUCCGUAAAACAAGUAAAAAUAAGUUUGAUCCUUCUCAGGUCUGUACAGAUCUAAGAAGUUUAAGAGACAAAAUAAGGGUUUUCAAAAGAAUAACUCGAAUAGAGCAGAAAUCUUAGACAAACAUUUUAAACAUAGAGACUCGUAGAUUAAUACAAAAAUCUGAAGAAAGAAGCAUUUUUGAAAAGGUGUUCAAAGACCCUAGUUCGAACAUGAAGCGUUACUUUAGACAAAUCGAAAAAACCUUUGAGUAAAACAACAAAAGAUCAUACUAUACACAUAGCUACCACCGAUCCAAAAGAAAUUGGAAAAUCAUAAGAGUUAGGGCUUCAGAGAACCUAGAGAAGAUGAGAAAACCUUAAAGUGUUACUGAUUUUAGCCGGAAAAGUCAUAGAUAUUACUCGAAUGGCAUGAGGCUGCCAAAAAAUGGCAUGAAGGACCAUGGGUAGGAGUUGAACCGCUCCAGGUACACUUGAGGACCUUAGAGUAGUGUCAAACCGGCAUGGGGUGAAGCAGACACCAGGAGAUGAUGACAGGCCACAGUUUCCGUGAGGGAGGUGGCCGAAUAAGGUGGACAAAGUCCAUCUGAGAGGAAACAUUUCUAGAGAGAACUAGAGAUAGAUAUAGGAUUCAGAGCCAGUGCAAAUGAAAGAAUGAUGUAGGGUUUGAGGGGUCGUUAGACUAAAAAGGGAAAGAGAUGGCGUGGACCAUUAAUCUCAAAGAUCAACGGCCACGAUUAAAAGAGGUUCUUGGUUGGGGCAGCUAGAUAGGAAAUUGAGCUUAUGUUUUAAGGAUUUGGAUUGAAUUAAUUAGGCUAUAAUUGAAACAAAAAUGGCUAAUUAUUAAAAAUCCAAUAAAAUUAGAUUAAUAAUUAAUAAAAAUAGAUAAUAAUUAGAUAAAAUAAAAUUAAAGCUAAAUAGGUGAAAUUAAAGUAGUUAACUAAUAUUUAAAAUAUAAAAUGAUCGAUUAUUCAAUUAAAGUAGCAUAAAGUGUAAAAUUAGGCUAUACUUGCAAAAUUAUUGUAAUAGCCAAACAAUGCCAAGUUGGCUAAUUUGGGAAAUAAUUAAAUUCUAGUAGGAUUUAGAAUGAUAUAUUGCGCUAAGAAAUACUUUGAAAUUACCAGUAAUGUAGUUUAUGAAUAAUUUAUGGAUAUAAGAUACUGAAUAAAUUAAAAAAUAAACUGAUAAUAAUAUGAAAAAUUAUGGAAAACACCAAUUGUUAUAAAAAGUGAUUUUGAAGGUAUAUAUGCAAACUUUAAAAAAAAUAGUUUGAGAAAAAAUUGGGUAUCAACAGCUGCCCUUUUUACCCAGGUAGGAUGAAAGAGUGUCGAGUAAACAUAUGAUAGCCAAUUUUGACUGAGAAAAACUGUUUGAAGAGGUUUAGGCCGCAUCAUGGUUUCUGAGUUGCCUACAUAUCCCUGAUUUCGUAAGAACCAGUCCGUAUAUAGUUAAAGAUCCAUUGGCAGAGUCUAGCGAUGAAGCCAUUUCAAGAACGGACGCAACACCUAGGGCUGGGUGAGUGAGCGGUUUAUGGGAAUGAUUCGGUUUGAUAUGGCUUGAGAGAAGAGGAGUGAGAUUGCUCCAGCUAGGAUAGCUAUUGCUCGUCGUCUUACCUACAAAUAGAAGCAACAAAAGUGUAUGCUGUGCAUAAAUUUAAACAUGAUACAUAUUCUCAUCAGACCAUGAAUGUUGUCUUUGGACGAUUAGGAAUGGUAUCCUCAGACCAUGGUGUCCUAGGCCAUAUGUUGUUUGAUGCAGGGUUCAUAGGCCAUGAAAUGAUAUUCUCGGGCUAUGAAUAUGGUGCCUCCAAACCAUGACGCCUUUGAAUAAUGAUAUGAAAAUGAUUGAAAUAGAUACUCGGGCCAUAAUAUGGUUUUCUCAGGCUAUGAAGAUGGUGCCUCCAAAUGAUGACGCCUUCAGAUGAGUUGGCAAUAUUUCAGCCCAUGAAAGAUGCAGUAAUAUGAUGCGGACAAGACAGAUCUUAGUCUUGCGAAUUGAGGGACAGAGCUUAGCUCGUAAGAGAAGCGAGAUAAAUACUACUUGGGAUAGUGCUUAGUUUCUAAGAAAAUUGGAGGAAGAGCUUAACCUCGAAAGGUAGAUUGGUAUCCUUAUGCAAAUUAAAAGGCAGAAAUGUAGCCAUAUGCAAUGCGGAUGCAGAUGAAGGUAGAGCUUAACCUUGGAAGGUAGAAUCAUAGCCUUAUGCAAUGUUGAUACAGAUGGAGGUAGAGCUUAACCUCGUAAGGCAGAAUGGUAGCUUUAUGCAAUGGAGAUGCAGAUGGAGGCAGCGUUUAGUCUCUGAAGCUAGAAUGGUAGCCUUAUGCAAUACAGAUGCAGAUGGAGGUAAAGCUUAACCUCGGAAGAAAUAAUGGUAGCCUUAUGCAAAGAUGCGAAUACAGAUGAAGGUAGAGAUUAACCCGGAAGGCAGAAUGGUAGCCUAAUGGAAAUUAGAAGGCAGAAUAGUAGAGCCUUAUGCAAUGCAAAUACAGAUGGAGACAACUUUUAGUCUCGGAAGGCAGAAUGGCAGCCUUAUGCAAGAAAAAUGAUAACAAAUGAAAAUAGAGUUUUCUUAGCUGAUAGCAUAUUACGACAUUGUGAUUACUGAUGUGAAGUAUGGAACAGCACCGGUGUGUGCUGAUAGCAAAUGUUGGAAAGUGCAACCGUUCUAAGAAUCGUAUUCUUGAACAAUGUUGGCCUCAUGGGGAUACACUAUGUUUAAUGAUUUUGCAAUCAUAAUGCCUGCAUCCAAAGAAGAAUUCUUAUUUUUGUAAGGGGGAAGCUUAGUUCAUAUCCUCACUGGCUUUACUUGACUGUGACAUGGUUCAGGACAUCGCAAUCUUUCCUACUAUUAAAUUUUGAGGGUCCUCCUCAAAAUGUUGCCCCAGUUUGAUGUGUUGACGCUUCUGAUUGUUGCUCAUGUGGUGAUCGGCUAAAAUUACUUCGGACCUUUGAGGGUCCUUCUCAAAAUUCUUCCCCAGUUUCCAAUUGCGUGAGGAAAUCAAAUUUUUAUAGAAUUCUUAUCGAACCCAUAGGGCUGCUCACAUAUUCCCGCUUAAAUAGGAAUCAGGUCAGGCGUAGUUCAAUUUACCUCAUAUAAGGAAAGCAUAAAGAUUACAUAUAGUAACAUUUGAAUGCAUAUGAAUUGAUCGGCUUUGGUCCAUUUCUGCAAGUAUGAGGGCUCCUCAUGUCAAAACCCGACGAACCUUGACCCUGCCAGUUAGGAGAAAAAUUCCCUUUGGCUUCAUCUUCUUGCGAAAAAAUUUUCUUCAACAGCAGCUGCCCCGGUAUAAACUAUCUUUGCUUGACUCUUUCCAUCUAUAAGGGCUAGUUUCUCAUUACGAAUUUUUACCCAAUCUGCAUUGUCGAGUUCAGCUUCUUGUAUGAUCCUUUGGGAUGAAAUUUCCACCUCAGCGGGAAUGACAGCCUCUGUACUGUAAACCAUCAUAUAGGGGGUUUCCUCAGUUGAUGUGCGGACUGUGAUACGAGACCCUAGAAAAUCGAAUGAUAACUUCUCGUACCACUAUAUAUGAUUCUUCAUCAUUUUCCUCAAUAUUUUUCUUGAUAUUCUUGUUCGAAGCUUCUACAACUCUAUUUAUCUGAGUUCUGUAGGCAAUUGAAUUCUUGUGUUUGAUGUUGAAAUUUUCGCACAUAGAUUUCAUCAAGUUGCUGGUGAGGUUGGAUCCAUUAUCAGUAAUCAUUGACUAUGGAAUUACGAGUCAACAAAUAAUGCGGUCGCGGACAAAGUCUUCUAUGACUUUCUUAGUCCCUGAUUUGUAAGAUGCUGCUUCGACCCAUUUGGUGAAAUAGUCAAUGGCUACUAGGAUAAACCUAUGUCCGUUGGAGGAUCGAUUGGUCCAAUAACGCCCAUUCCCCGGGUGGCGAACGGCCACAGUAAGCUUGUUAUGUUAAGCAUGCUUGGAGGUACCUUUAUCAUGUCUGCAUGUAUCUGACAGGGGUGGCAAUUCCAAAAAUACUGGAUAUAAUCAAUUUCCGUAGUCAUCCAAAAGUAACCAGCCUGGAGUAUCUUCUUUGCUAAGACAAAACCGUUUAUAUGUGGACCCCAGGCCCCAGCAUGAAUUUCCUUUAGUAACUUGGAUGCUUCCUUUGCGUCGACACAUCUUAAUCCUAAAUCAGGAGCCCUCCUAUACAAAAUUCCUCCACUAUGAAUAAAUUUAUUGGUCAAUCUCAGAAGUGUGCAUUUAUUAGUAGGAUUCACAAGCCUCGGGUACUCUCCUUUUGCCAAACAUUCCUUGAUAGCAUGAACCCGAGCUUUCUAUCUGCUUUUUCUUCAACAUGGGCACAGUAAGCUGGCUGAUUAUUGAUUUUCACUAGAAUGAGAUCAAUGAAAUUCUUAUCGGAAUGUUGUAUCAUAGAUGAUAGGGUAGCCAAUGCAUCGGUAAACUCAUUCUGGAUUCUGGGAACAUGUUGGAACUAUCUUCGUGAACCUCUUUCUCAAUUCUUGUACAUGAUGCAAAUAUGCGAGUAUCUUGGAGUUCUUGGUCGUCCAUUCUCCCGUACCUGAUGUGGAAAUAAUUUUGAAUCUCCAAUCACUAGCAGCUCUUGAAUGUUCAUGUCAAUGGUCAUUUUAAGUCCUAAGAUGCAGGUUUCAAACUCAGACAUAUUGUUGGUGCAGGGGAACCUGAGUUUGGCAGACAUUGGAUAAUGCUAACUGAUUUUUGAUAUUAGGAUUGCUCUUAUGCCAACUCCUUUGAAUAUUGUUGCUCAAAGAACAUUCUCCAACUGUUAUAGGAUUUUGCAAUGUCUUCUCCUAUGAAUGAUACCUUCUUAUCAGGAAAAUAUAUUUUCAGGGGGCCGCAUCCUCCAUCUAUGGGGUUUUCAGCAAGGUGGUCUGCUAGUGUUUGUCCCUUGACCGCUUUCUGAGUUACUUAAAGAAUGUCGAACUCACUCAACAGGAUUUUCUACUUGUCUAGCUUGUCAAUGGGCAUGGGCUUCUCAAAGAUAUACUUCAAGGGGUCCAUUCUUGAUAUGAGAUAUGUAGUAUAGAUGCAGAAGUAAUGUCUCAGCUUCCGAGUUACCCAAUUCCAAGCACAAAAGGAACGUUCCAAUAGAGAGUAUCAGGCAUUGUGCAGGGUCAACUUCUUACUGAGAUAAUAAAUGGCUUCUUCCUUCCUCUAUGUUUCAUCAUGCUACCCGAGGAUGCAGCCAAAAUCUCCAUCUAUCACUGCAAGGUAGAGUAAUAAGGGUCUACCUAGCUCGGUUGGGACUAAGACUGGUGGUAUGGACAGGUACUCCUUGAUUUUUUCGAAGGCCUUUUGGCAGUCAUCGAUCCAUUUGGUAGCGGUGUUUUUCAUUAACAUCUUAAAGAUUGGCUCAUAGAUAAUUGUAGACUGUGUUUUGAAUCGGCCAACAUAGUUAAUCCAUCCCAUGAAACUCAUCACAUCCUUUUUAUUCUUUGGCAAUGGUAGGUCCUGAAUGGCUUUGACCUUCAAUAGAUCCAGUUCUAUUCCUCGGCGGCUAAUAAUAAACCCAAGCAACUUCCUAGCAGGAACCCCAAAUGCACUACCGUAACCCUAGAGAACCCCUUCGUCUCCGUCGUUCACCACCAUGAACAGCCGGCCGAAAAUUGCCUCCGCUGGAGGCGGAGCUUCGAUGGCCACCAAAUUAACACCCCUUGUUCCUCUCUUUCUCCCUUUUCCAAAUCUACAAACCCCAUCCAUCAAAUCUUGCAAGAAAUUUCUAACCCUCCGCCGUGACCGGCAGCGGCACCACCCAAACACUACCCAAAUUAACACCACAUGUUCCCCAUCACCUCCUCAACGUCAAAACUUUAGUCACAUGAUUACAAUGAAAACACGUGAUUAAGGUCUAAUUCGACCCAUAACAAGGCUAAUUCAAAGGUUCAAUUCUAGACUUUACUUGUUCAUCUCAGACAGGUAUGCCUUCCACUUCUAUUUCUUUUUAGCUUCUUCUUGUUCGUAUCGUACUUUUGCAUGCCCAGGAUAAUCAUAAUUUAACACCUUUUAAGUUUUGUUUUGUUUUGACCUUCAUUUGUCAGUUUAUUUUUUUAUUUCAAUUCGUUGUGGCUUAUUGCUUAAUUUAGUUUUUAGUCCUUCUGUAAUCAUCUCAUUCAUGUAUAUCUUAGUUUUAGUGUGAAUGGGUUUAUUGGGACUUCUGAAUUAGGUUAAUUUUAGGAUAGGUUUGAAAGCCCAAGGAAAAGAGGUCAAUCUAGUUGGGUUUACGCGUUGGGUCACCUUGACCCAUGAGCUGAAGUUUGGGUUAAUUCACCAAAGUAAAUACAAUAUAAUUGGGGGUAAUUUGGGUAGAUCACAUAGAGAAUCUUGCAGUAACAAAAAAUAGAAACCCCUAGAAGUUUCUACGUUAGGGUCCUAAUUUGAAUUUGAAGAUUUAGAUGGUAUAACUUGGGUAGCAAGUCAGGAUACUAAGAAUUUUUAAGCAAAAAAACUUAAAAUUAAAAGGACUCAAAAUGCAAAACAAAAACCAAAAAGUUUCCCUAAUUGCUUGCCUUUAAAGGCAUUCAUUCUUGCCUUUGAAAAAGGGAGGAGAAAAAAAAUCUGAAAGGAGAAAAUAAUCAGAAAAUAAAACUUUACUGUUUCAUUGAUUUUUCUUUGAUUGCUGAAAUUCUCAAGUUCUGAAAUAUUUCCUGGUAAAUAUGGGUUUGAUGUAGAUUUAUUUGGGGUCUGAAUGAUGAGUUUGGGAAAUUGGUCGAGUUCUGUUGAUUGUGACAUCACAAUUCUUAGCUUGAAUCAAACCUGUUUGUCUUUGCUGCUAACCAUGUGUUGUUGUUCACUGCUGGUCCACUUACCCCACUUUCAUUUUUGCAUUCCAGGUACUGGUUCCUAAACUUGUAGAACUGAUUCUCAAAGCUGGAGUUGAAAUAGAAAUGGAACUUGUUUUUUUAGCUUAACAUUCAGUUGUGUUCAUAGUUUAGUUCUUUUGCUUAUUUGUGGUUCCUGUUUUCUAUCCUGAAUAUGUAAUAAGAUUUAGUACCUUGAAGUGUAUACAGCCAAUUUUGAUUUUCCAUCGUGGUUGAUAAUUUUGAUGAGGCCACCUCAAGUGUAUUCAUCUAGUAUUACUCAUCUUCGUUUUUCAAGAGAUGGAUUUUAGACUAAUUAAAUACAGCCAAUUAAGGAUAUUUUGGAUUCAUUAAAUGUGCAUUCGAUAUGAUUAAAGUCUGUUACAAUAGGGACUUUGUGUGUAGGUUGGGUUGAGGGUUCAAUACCAUGGAUCUAAGUUUGAUCUAGUGCAUAUCCGCUUUCCUACAACAGAUCUUUAUAUUUUUUCCUUCAUUUUUUCCAGUUUAAAUUAAUUUCAGGUCUGAUUUAGUCUCUUAGUUAUAGCCUGAGUUUGGCAUCAGGUGCUAUUACACCGUUUCGUUAGCAUUCACGUAAAGCUUUGUGAACAAAGAAUUUAUGGUUCAACAAGUCACAAAUUUGGCAUUACGUCUGCGAGUUUUACAUUGGUCUUGGCGGCAUCACAAUAGGAUCUAGAUUUCAUGUAAUAGAUCUAUGAUUUAACUUGUUAAUUGAUUAACAAACUCUUUUCAUCUUAGUGUGUUUUUUACAAUAGUGGUUAAUAGGAGUCGCCCUUUGGGUAAUUGGACAUCUUAAUUAUGACUGUUGCGUGUUCAUGGCACAUUGGAUCUAUCAGUAAUAUUCUAGAUCAACAAAAUUGGGAGCAUGAAAUUGGGCAUAAAAUAGGCCCAAAUGAAGGGAAAUCUUAUUUGAACUCUAUUCCUAACUAUGAGCAAGGUUCGUUUGGGCCCAAGGCUGAACGACUCGCGAAGGAGUCUGCUCAAUUGCUUGUGUGAAAUAAUUCUCUUUGGGCUUGCGGGUUUGUAACUAGUUUCUUUUAACUCCUUUCGUAGGGCAAAGUCUUUCGUUCAAAAUAAAUAAAAAUCUUUUGAUGCUUUCCUUAAUUAAAUAAUGAGGGUGAGUUAUAUUAGAUAACAUAUAGUUUAUGGCCCUCCAGAUAUAGUUGAAAUUCCUUUCACAAAUAGAAUUUGAGGUGUACCACUUAUCGAAUUUUCAUGGCCUUCGCGAUUUUGAAAAACACGAAAUUACCUUAGGCACGCUAGUUAAAUAAUGUACUUUCCUAAAUACGGGUGCGAUUUAUGUGACCCAAAUCCAAAUCUCAACAUUAGGUAAAAUGUGCUACAAGCUAUGGGUGUAUUUAUGUGACACGGUUCAGGACACGUUUAAACAACGUUGCAACCUUCUUAAAAUUAAAUAAAAGAGGUUUUAAAAGUUAAAAUAUACACUUAGGUACAAAAUGUAUUAAAAUUGGAUAACUAAGCCAUAUAUAACAAUUGGGCGACCGUGCUAGAACCACGGAACUCGGGAAAGUCUAACACCAUCUCCCAAGUGAAAAGAAUUCCUUACCUAUAUUUUUGGCUCGCAGACAAUAAUACAUAGUCAAACCUUCCUCGAUUCGGGAUUUAAACCGGUGACUUGGGAUACGAUAAAUUAUCCUAAGUGGCGACUCUGAAUGUUUAAAUAAAUUAAUCCUGUUUCGAUUGUUCUUUAAUUGGAAAGAACUCUCAUAUCUACGCCCUUCGCGGGGUGUAGUGUAUAAAAAGAAGGUGUGGCAUGCUCAUCCUACAUAUUUAUUAAGGUGAUUUUAAUCAAAAGCAAACGAUGACUUAUUUUUAUUUAGUGAAACAAAAUGACUAUUCUUUUUUCAAAAUUUAUAGAAUAUUCGGCUUUGCCAAUACGGCCUUUCAGUACUUCAAAACGAAGAUUUUGAUCAUGUGUCGGCUAACCAGCCAAAUCCUUGAAAAAUGACUAAAGGUGAUUGUUCUUGCGAAAACAGUCUUCCGGUGCCCUUUUGAGGGACAUUCGGCUAUUUUUGACAAGAAUGGAAUCACCUUAGUUAUAUACAGUAAAAAUAAAAUUUUGUUCUUGUGGGAUAUUUUUGCAAAAAGGAAAGUUGGACUCGACGGGGGUUGCUUAUGUAUCUCAUACCCUGUGAGAAUCAAACUGGCGUAGUUCGGGCAUAUAAAAUAAAACCAUCUAUUUUUUAAAACAAAACCUUUUUCUUCUUUCUUUUCUUUUCAUUUUCUCAAAAUUCGACAGAGUUUCAGUACAAUUUGGACAUAAGAUUUUUCAUUCAAACCUCACUUAAACCUCACAAUGCUAUUUUUUUCAACUUUUACCCUUAAAUCAAAAGACGGUCAGCAUGCAAACCCGAAGCAAAUAAAUACAACAGAUAGCACGUAAAAUAUGCAUCAGGAUGGUCUGUUAUUUGUAUACACCUGUCCUAGACGGACCCAACCCCUAUGUUGAGUCCCCUAAGUCAAAUGCAUGUGAUGCAACAAAUCGCUCCUACUAGGGAUCUGGCAUGAGGCUGAGUUAUUCUUUUUUUAAAAACCUCGGUUUAUUGUUUUAGACCUGGCUUACCCGAGCAGACAAUUCGAUCCAAGGAAGGCAGCGUACCGGGAAUAUAUAAGCUUCGCCGGCUUUGCAACUUGUCCGAACCUCGUUCUAAAUUUGGAAAUUGAUUAUAACAGAAAAGAAGUCACAUGAAGUGCACAUUUCUUCAUGAUUUAGAAGAUUAGAGAGAGGAGGGAUUCAUUACAGUUUAUAUACAGUUCAUCAAUAUUAAAGCAGUAAAAAAGCAACAAUUAGCACAUUAGGCCCAAACAUGUAAGAAAAUCAGAUAAAGCCAAAUAUAACAAUCUAUCCAAGCUCGAAUUCUGAACCGUAUACCAGACGUUCAGGGUUCGAUCCCCAGUAGAGUCGCCAGAGCUGUCACACCAACUUUUACCUACACCCCCGAAAGGGAGUAUAUAAGGAAGUUAUUUCAAACUUGAAGUGACAAUCAAAACGGGAUUAUUUAUUUAAAGAACUCAAAGUCACCACUUGGGAGAUUUAUAUUAUCCCAAAUCACUAAUUUCAAAUCUCGAAUUGAGGAAUAGGUUGACUCUGUAUUACAGUCUGUGAACUAGGAAUCCGAGUAAAGAAUUCUGUUAAUCCGGAAGAAGGUGUUAGGCAUUCAUGAGUUAUGUGGUUCUAGCAUGGUCGCUUAACUAUUAUUAUUGGCAUAAUUAUUUUAUUUUAAAAACAUUCUAAACCUAUGUGAUUUUUAAUUUUAAUCGCUUUUAUUCAUUUUUAAUGAAGAUUUAACGUCGUCUAAAAUAUGUCUUUGGAUCGUGCCACAUGAAAUGCACCCGCAAUCUGAAACACAUUUUAUUCAAUGUUAUAAGGAUUUGGAUUUGGGUCACAUGAAAUGCACACCUGAGUUUAGGAAGGUAAUAUUUAAAAUACUCGCCUAAAGCAACUAUACUGAGAUGGACCUCAAACUAAGCUAUAACAAACAAAUAGUAAAAAUGAAUACAUGAAAAGAAUUAUACUAAGAUGGAACUCAAACUAAGCUAUCACAACACAUAGCCAUCCCCAUAGUUAUUAAAAAUUAUUACAAACCAAUAUGAACCAGAAAAGUAAAGAAAUUACAUCAAAAAUUCAAGCUACACCCAAAGAUCAUAUUUCAGAUUUAUAGUCUAGCAACAUGAGAUAAACCAACUUCCAAGAUAAGAUUUCCAAUGCCUUUCUCUUAUUUGGGAUGUUUCAAAGUUCCCAGGAUUCUCAAAGGGCUCCGAGCAGUGCUUACACCCCAAAUACAUAGCAGGGUAAGAUCAAAGUGCAGUGUGGAAGGACCAGCCAUCCAAUGUCCAAGAUUAGAGGGAACUCAGAGUCCCAAAGCAAGGCUUAUAAGAGGGGGCAGAGCUUAGAGUCUAAGAAUAAGUGCAAGUGCAUAAGAGAGGGAAUUAGGGAAAUCCAAGGCAGGCUGGUGGUCAUGCCCAGCAAUUUGGGAGUGCUGGCACACCCCUAACUAGUAUGUUAUCCCAUUCUUAAGACUUAGGAUACAUUGUGGAUCAGGCUCAGACCUAGGCAGCAAUAUGGAUACUGCCAAGCCAUGAGCCUUAACUUACACACAUAGAAGAGGUUAGGGUAUGGGAAAUUCAUGAAAAAUAGCAGAUGCAAAGGGAAAGUAGCAUAUUCAUUGCCGAACAUGAACAACAAAGUAGACGUGAAUAUUGCAACUGUAAAGUAAACACAUAGGGAAGAAGUUGAAAUCAAAAUUGAGACAUACCAGUUUCAGAGAAAUAAAUAAGUGAAGGCAGUAGUCUUAUAAGAAAUAUUGCAAUCAAACAGUACAAGAGACCUCCGAAGAGAGUAGAUUAUUCGAAAGAGUAUUGCAAUUCAGAGUGUGAUAAUAUUGAAUUUUGAAGUGUUCAGUAAUCAAUGAUGUGUAUAGAAGGUUUGUUCCCCUUUUAUAGUGCAGAAAGCAAGUACAAAAGGUAAGGAAAUAUUCAUUGAAAUCAAUCUCCCUUUAAUUAAGGGAUUCUAAUUUCAAUGGGCAAAACCAAUUAAGGAAAGGUGUUUUUGAUUAAAACCUUUUCAAAGUAGCACAAAAGGGGUAAACACAUAGAAAUCAUUUAAGGAAAGCAUUCAAUGGUCACGGCUUGUGACAAAUAUGGAAAGGAAUCAAUCAACAACUAGUAAAAAAAACAAAAAUUGAGUUUUGGUAUGGAUGAAUCUGACCAAGAAAGUUGAGGAAAGGUUUAUUUGAAGAAAUUCAAUAACAAUCAAUUGAACCUUAUUAAAAGGAACUCUGAAUCAAUCACAAAUUGGUAAAACCCUUUUGAAGGAAGAAUUCCUCAUAUAUAAAGCAUACAGGCAUGUAAAACAAGAAAGAAAUGUCAAGCUAAUUAGAAAGAUCUAGUAUAGAAAAGUUCAGAGUGACAAACAAAGAGGCUCAGAUUCAGCACUUAGGCUCAGAAUUAGUUUGAGAAUCCAGCAUCCCAUAAUAAAACCCUAGUCCAAACACAAGACCAAACUCUCCAAAACCCCCCCCCUUGCGGGUUUGUAACUAGUUUCUUUUNNNNNNNNNNNNNNNNNNNNNNNNNNNNNNNNNNNNNNNNNNNNNNNNNNNNNNNNNNNNNNNNNNNNNNNNNNNNNNNNNNNNNNNNNNNNNNNNNNNNNNNNNNNNNNNNNNNNNNNNNNNNNNNNNNNNNNNNNNNNNNNNNNNNNNNNNNNNNNNNNNNNNNNNNNNNNNNNNNNNNNNNNNNNNNNNNNNNNNNNNNNNNNNNNNNNNNNNNNNNNNNNNNNNNNNNNNNNNNNNNNNNNNNNNNNNNNNNNNNNNNNNNNNNNNNNNNNNNNNNNNNNNNNNNNNNNNNNNNNNNNNNNNNNNNNNNNNNNNNNNNNNNNNNNNNNNNNNNNNNNNNNNNNCAAAUCCUAGGGUUUCAACCAGAAUCAGAGGUAGAGACGAGAACACAAAUAACAAAAACAGUCUGGAAAGACUCUUUCAAAGACUCAUGACAAAACAAACAUGUAAAAUAGCAGGUUCGAAACAACCUUAGCGUAAAAGCUGAUUUGAAGCAUAAAGAACAUGUUUUGAGAAAAGCUCAGAACUUAAACAAGUUAAGAGGACAAAGAGGUAAAGUAAACUUAAGGAAACAGUAGAUGUAACAUUUCUAGAAAUAACUUCAAACAAGUCUAGAAGAAAGUAAAUAAAGAACUCGUCACACUCAGUAGGAAAAUACAUUAGAAGAACACAAGAAUAUGCAAAAAAUACAUAUAGAAGAACACAGUAAGAUAGUCAUACAAGAGCAUGGUAGAAGGAAGAAUACAUGAAGACAGUAGGAGCAAGUACACGUAAAGAAAAGGAAGGUCAGAAAUCACUUAUACAUUUUAGAAAACCCUAGAUCGGAAAAAGAAAGUUAAAAAAAGAAUUUUUGAAAGAAAAAUUAGGGAAAUCAUUUGAAAACUCUAGUGGAGCAUAGAUAUGUGAUAGAUCUAAGGUAAGAAAAUCAGGAAAAAAAACCUCGAAUAGCCAUAGAUUGCAGAGAAACCCCUAGAAAUGAGAAAGGUCUUGAGGAAAGUCCGAUCUUGAGUUAAAAAGACUCAUAUUGGUCGAAUAUACCGGAGUAGUGGCUGGAGAAGCUAUAGAUCCACAGAUCUGAGAAGAUUUAAAAGGGAGCCAUCGAUGUCAAGGCCUUUAUUCUUCAAAUAUGGAGCACACAGAAGUAACAGAGGGUGAGUAUCAGGUUAUCAUGACCGGAAUGGCCAUGAUUUUCGGUGAGCUUAAGGUAGGCAACAGUGAGAUAGGCUAGGGUUUCGUGAGGGUUCGAAAGAGUUUUGAGAGAUGAGAGGUUUCAAAGGCAGCUGAGAAUGAGAAAUGAGGGAAUUAGGGUACUCAUCUGGGGUUAAAAAGAGAAGAGUGAUUUCUAGACGUUGAUCUUGAGUGAUCAACGGUCUAGAUUUAAAUGGAUAGGUGGGGAAAAUGUUGGGUCAUUAGGAUUGGUUCUUGGGUUGACCAGUUUAGGAAAUUGAAAUUAGGCUAAUUUGAGGGUCAAUUUAUGCUAAAACUGAAAUAAAAUAGGGCUAGUAUUUAAAUAGCCAUUUUUCCCCUUUUAAUUUUUUGAGAAUGAUAUAUAUAGCAAAUUAAAAGUACUGAGCUAGUUAAUAUUAUGUAAAUAUUAACUUAAAAAUACUGGAACUAAUUUUAUAAUUAUAAAAUGCUGUUAAUCUCAAAUUGGGGCUAAAAUGGCAAUUAUGUGCAAUUUAACUAUAAAAAUGCCAAAUAAAUUUGUAAAAAUAUACGAAAAUUAUCUUAAUUAUAUUCUGGCAUAAAUAUGAGAAUAAAAUAAGUCAUUCACUAAAAUGAUAACCUUUGAGAAUAAUUAUUGGGUCUUAUACUGCUAAAAUAGACAGUAAAUUGAUUUUGAAAAAUAUUUAAAAAAUGUCAAAACUCUUGGGCAUUCUCGCAUAUUCAUGUACAUGCUAUUUUAGAAGUAUUUUAUAUAUAAAAAUAUGUAAGAAAAAAUUAGGUAUCAAUCCGGGUUUACCGCAAUUAGAGUGGAGGGGUACUUUAAAUUACACUCCCAGUUGAGUUUUUUCGUAUCUUAAAGCUCGACGAAUGGUUGAGAAGGGGUGUGACAUUUAUCUAGCUUAUGUGAGAGAUAUUAGCAUUAAUACCCCUAUAGUUUAUUCAGUUCUAGUAGUGCGGGAUUUCGCUGAUGGGUUUCCAGCUGAUCUUCUGGGCAUGCGCCCGAUAGAGAUAUUGAUUUUGGCAUUGAUUUGUUGUUGAGCACUCAGCCCAUUUCUAUUCUUCCUUAUCAUAUGGCUCUUCCUGAAUUGAAAGAAUUAAAAGAAUAGUUAUAGGAAUUGCGUGAUAAGGGCUUUAUUCGGCUUAGUGUGUCGCAUUGGGGUGCUCUUGUCUUGUUUAUGAAGAAAAAGGAUGGUUCUACGUGUAGGAGCAUCGAUUAUUGCUAGUUGAAAAAAGUUAUAAUGGACAAUCGGUAUCCUUUGCCUCGUACCGAUGACCUAUUUGAUCAGUUACACUGUGCUCGAGUGUUUUCAAAGACUUAUUUGUGUUCAAGUUAUCAUCAAUUGAAGAUUCGGGAGCAAGAUAUCUCGAAUACUACUUUCACGACUCGGUAUGGUCAUUAUGAGUUCCUUAUAUAUUAUUUGGGCUAACCAAUACCCCCAGCAGCAUUUACGCACUUGAUGCACACUGUAUAUUAGCCACAUCUUGACUUGUUCAUCAUUUUCUUUAUUGAUGACAUUCUGGUGUACUCCAGGAAUCGGGAAGAUCGUGAGUAGCACCUGAGGACAGUGCUUCAGACCUUGAGAGAAAAGAAAUUAUAUGAAAAGUUCUCAAAAUGUGAGUUCUGGUUGGAUUUUGUGGCAUUCUUGGGUCACGUGGUGACGAGUAAGAGGAUUAAGGUGGAUCUAAAGAAAGUGGAAGCAGUAUGGAGUUGGCCUAGGCUAUCCUCAGCUACAAAGAUCCAUAGUUUUCUUGGUUUACCAGGUUAUUAUUGUCGAUUUGUUGAGGGAUACUCAUCUAUUGCAACACAUAUAACCAGGCUAACCAAAAAGGUGCUCCGUUCAGGUGGACGGAAGAGCAUAAUGAGAGCUUUUAUAAGAUCAACACAGCCUUGACUACAGUCCCAAUAUUGAUAUUGCCUACUAGUUCCAGGUCUUAUACAGUCUAUUGUGAUGCAUCACACGUUGGCCUCGGUACGAUGUUGAUGCAAGACUAUUGAGUGAUUACCUACGUGUCCAGACAUUUGAAGGUGCAUUAAAAGAACUAUACUAUCCACGACCAUGAGCUAGCUGCUAUUGUUCACGCUUUGAAGAUUUUGUGGCAUAUUUGUAUGUUGUCCCUUGUGAGAUCUACAUUGAUCACCCAGUUUGCAGCAUCUGUUCAAGCAGAAGGAACUUAAUUUGCAUCAGAGGAUGUGGUUAGAGCUGCUUAAGGAUUAUGAUAUCACCAUUUGGUACCACUCUGGGAAGGCUAAUAUGGUGGCCAAUGCUUUGAGUCGUCGGGCAGAGAGUUUGGGGAGUUUGACUUAUCUAUUUGUAGUAGAGAGGCCCAUGGCAGUAGAUGUUCAGGCCUUAGCCACCCAUUUUAUGAGAUUGGAUAUUUCUGAUCCUAGUCUAAUAAUGGCUUGUGUGUUCUCUCGAUCUUCUCCUUAUGAUAGUAUCAGGGAGCAUCAGUAUGAUGACUCCCAUCUGCUUGUCCUCAAGGACAUGGUUCAGCAGGUGAUGCUAAGGAUAUUACUAUUGGUGAUGAUGGUUCUUUUAAGAUGCACGGUAGACUAUGUGUGCCUCAUGUAGAUUAUCUGCGUGAGUUGAUUCUUCAGGCAGCUCACAGCUCGUGGUACUCUAUUUAUCCGGGUGCCGCGAAGAUGUAUCAAGACUUGAGGUUCUAUUGUUGGUGGUGUAGAAUUAAGAAGGACAUAGUGGAGUAUGUUGCUUGAUGUUUAAUUUUCCAGCAGGUGAAGUAUGAGCAUCGCCGAUUGGGUGGAUUGCUUCAGAGGUUAGAGAUUCCAGAGUGGAAGCAGAUCAUUAUGGACUUACUUGUUGGGCUCCUAAGGACUCAGCAAAAAUUUGAUGCAGUUUGGGUGAUUGUAGAUAGGCUGACCAAGUCGGCUCAUUUCCUUCCUUUGAUGACUACCUAUUCUUCUUAGCAGCUGGCUCAAGUUUAUAUUUUUGAGAUUGUUAGAUUUCAUGGUGUACCGCUAUCUAUUAUUUCUGACCGGGGCACGCAGUUUACAUCACGGUUAUGGAGAGCCGUACAACAUGAGUUGAGUACUCGAGUGGAGUUGAUCAUAGCAUUUCAACCCCAGACGGACAAACAGUCCAAGCGCAAUAUUCAGAUUCUUGAGGAUAUGCUCUAUGCAUGUGUGAUAGAGUUUGGAGGUUCUUCGGAUCAGUUCUUGCCACUUGCGGAGUUUGCCUACAACAAUGGUCACUAGUCCCGUAUUCAUAUGGCACUGUGUGAGGCUCUAUGUGGAAGGAGGUGUAUGUCCCCAGUGGGUUGGUUUGAGCCUAGCGAGGCUAGAUUAUUUGGCACCGACUUGGUUCAGGAUGCUUUGGAGAAGGUUAAGGUAAUUCAGGAUAGACUUCACACAGCCCAGUCCAGACAAAGGAGUUAUGCAGACAGAAAGAUUUGUGAUGUUUCAUUUAUUAUAGGAGAGCGGGUCUUGCUUCGGGUUUUGCCUAUGAAGGCCGUUAUGAUAUUUGGAAUGAGGGGCAAGUUGAGCCCAAGUUUUACUGGACCUUUUGAGGUGUUGUGGCGUGUUGGGGAGGUUGCUAAUGAGCUUGCCUUACCUUACAUCAUGGUAGGAGCUCAUCUGGUAUUUCAUGUUUCGAUGCUUCAGAGGUAUCGUGUUGAUCCAUAUCACGUGUUGGAUUUCAGCUCUGUCUAGUUGGGUAAGGAUCUAUCUAAUGUUGAGAAGCCAAUGGCUAUAUAGGAAAGACAGUUUUGAAAGCUGAGAUCAAAGAGCAUUACAUCAGCGAAGGUUCAAUGGCGGGGUCAGCUGGUUCAGGAAGCAACUUGGAAGACUAAGUAGGAUAUGUGUAGUCAUUAUCCUUAUCUUUUCACCACUUUAGGUAUUUGUCUAUGCUCGUUCUAGGACGAACAAAUAUUUUAAGAGGGGUAAUGACCCAGCCGGUUGUUUUGAGAAUUAACGCCUCGAUCCUCUAUUAACUGCUAUAUCUAUUUUCAGCUAUUGUGAUUUGUCGAGAUAAUUCAUUUUGAGGUUCAGAGUGUUUUGGGACACUUAGUCCCUAAUGAGAGAUAAAGUCUUAGAAUUUGGACCGUAGUCGGAACAGUGUGGAGACCGCUCCGGAAUGGAAUUCUGCCGAUUUCGUUAACUCCGUUGGAUAUUUUGGGCUCAGGGGCAUGUCCAGAUUGUUUUUGAGGUCCAUAGCUAUUUAAGCUUGAAAUGGUGAAAAUAGAUUUUUUGUAGUUUCGGCCCGGUAGUGAAAUAUUUGAUAUAGGGGUCAGAAUCUGAUUUCAGUAGUUGCAGUAGGUCUCUAGUUUUAAAUAUGACUUCUUUGCAAAAUUUGGCGUCAAUUAGAUGUGGUUUGGUCAGUUACCGCAUCGGUUGUAGAAUUUUGAAACUUCAAGUUCAUUAAGUUUGGAUUGGAGGGUGAUUCAUGAUUUUAGCGUUGUUUAAAGUGAUUUGAGGGCUCGAAUAAGUUUGUAUAGUGUUUUAGGAUUGGUUGGUAUGUUUGGUUGAGGUCCUUGGAAUCUCGGGUAUUUUUGGAAUGCUCAACGGGAUAUUUUCGGACUUCAAAAAUUGGCAGAUUUUGCUGGUUUUUCUGUUGUAGAAGAUCGCAUAAGAAAGCUUGCGAUUGUAUAGAGCAUUUUAGAAAACAAGCUAAGUUAUUCUUCGCGAUUGCUAAGACAGGGAUGCAAUCGCGUAAGUUCAUCAGGUGAUGUAUCGCGAACGCAUUUGUUUGUCACGAACGUGAUGCAUGGUCAGCGAUCUAGGAGAGUUAGAGAAUCAUAUCGCGUUGUGUUGUAUGCAUUCACGUACGGUAAAUUCAUGAGGAACCGUAGUUUUUAUUCACUAUCAUGAGGGUGUUACUGCGAUCGCAAUAAAGGAAUCAUUGGGCGGAAUUUUGAAGUUCAAAAAAUGAGGGUUUGAGUUGAUAACUCAAAAAUCUGAUUGAGAGCUCGGUAGAAGGCAAAAUUUGGAGACAUUUUAAAAGGAACCUAGUGAGUAAUGAUUCCUAAGUCCUUUUUUAUAAUAACCCAUUAAUCUAAGCUGAAUUUUCAUCAUUUAGUUUCAGAUUUGGGGUGAAAUUUGGGAAACUUUCAGAAAAGUUCUUAGGCUGAAUUUUGGGAUUUUGAUCAAGAUUUUUGUAUCUUAUUUGAGUGAAUUUGGAAUGGUUAGACUCAUGAGUGAAUUGAUGUUCAUAAUUUGUAAUAUUUUACCCGAUUCCGAGAAGUAGGCCAGGGGAGGAUUUUUAGGCAUUUUUCUAUUUUCUUGCCAUAGCUUUGAUUUCAUUAGGUAAAUUAUUUCCUGUAGCUAUAAUUGUGUUAUGUAAUUAAUUUGAUUAGAUUUGGUCCACUCGGAGUUGGAUACUCGUGGAAAAAGCAUGAUUUCAGAUUGAUUUAGGCCUGGUUCGAGGUAAGAUCUUGCCUAACCUUGUGUGGGGAAACCCCUCCUUAGGACUGGUACUGUUUCAUAUAUGAAUAUUGUGUACGUGAGGUGAUGCAUGUGUACAUGGGCUAUUUGUUUAAAAACCCCAUUUUCAUUAAGAAAAUAUUUGUUUUCCUUUAAUUGAGCCAUGCUAGUAUGUGUAACUAUCAUAUUUAGCUUAGGAAAACAUGCCUAUAUGCCUCAACUGUCUGACCUGCCUACCUGAACUAUGUGCAGCAUGUUUAGUGUAAAAUUACCUAUCUUUAUUUUGUAUGAACUUAAUCUAAACUAUAGAAUUCCUUGUUGAAAUUGUUGUUUAUGUUUAUUGAGUUGUAUAUUUAGUUUGGGACUACAGAAUGGUAUUUCGGGAGAUCCCCCUACACGUUUAUGUUUGGGACUACGGAAUGGUAUCCUGGGAUAUCCUCUUGUACUGGAUAUUUACUUUGGGACUAAAAAAAUGAUAUUUUGGGAGAUCUCCCUACCCAUUUACGUGUGGGACUACGGGAUGGUAACUCAGGAGAUCCCCUGUACAAUUACGUUUGGGACUACGGGACGGUAUCCUUGGAGAUCCUCUGUUGCUAUCUCUAUGUACUGAGUUGUUGUUUUUCUGUGAUUUCAUUCUCAUUUACUGUUAGUGUUUAUCUUUACUAUGAUAUUUCGAAAUGUAUUAUCAUAUUAUACAUAUAUACCAGUAGUGUCCUGACCUGAUCUUUUUGCUACUCGGCCGAGGUUAGGCUUAGCACUUACUCGGUACCGAUAUGGUGUACUCAUGCCCUUUCCUGCACAUGUUUUUCGUUACAAAUCCAAGUACCUCUUGACACGCCUCCUUUUUCUUUGCGUAAUCGGGUUAAUGACAUUUGGUUGGGACAACGCUUUCCUUUUGGAAAGGGGUUUUGCCUUUUUUUGAAGAGUUGCCACCUAACGAUUUUAGCUGUGUUAGGGAACCUAUAAGGUUCAUUUAUAACAACGUUUGUUAAUCGGAUACUAGGUAACGGCUUGCAAUUAUCCUAAUAGGAAGGAGUUAGGCACCUGUCAAGAUCAACUAGUGUGGUUCCCAGUCAAAUAGUAUUUUGUGAAUUUGUACAAUUAGCAAAUAGACAAGUAGGGCCAAAUAGUAGGGGAUUUAGGUUUAAAUACACGGGUGUAAUAAAAUAGCUUAUGAAAAAAGUUAUACUUUAAAAAUAAUUACAAUCUAAGCAUAUUUGUGAAUGAAAGAGGGGUGUCGUGGGUUUGUGUAUAAUAUGGAUCACAUCAAUGCAAUACCUGGUAUGACACUCCACAAAGAUGGACUAGACGUGGGAUUAAUCCACAGUUCAUCAUAUCUAUUUCUACCCUUUCCCUCCCCGUGAAGGUAAGUAAAGCGGCGAUUGGUCUUGACCCCUAUUUCAUGUUGUUACACGUCCACUCCUAUCAUCCCUAGAGGAAUUUAGGACUCUAAUACUAUAAGAAGGGGGUUCCAGGCAGACUCUUAAGUUUAAAGAUAUAAUACUAAGUGACAUAUAAUAAACAAGUAGGACUUCAAUUAAAGGGAGCAUGAAGGACAAAGGAAAGGCUCAGAUAUACCUCCUCACUAAUACAUAUAAACAGCAUGGCACAUACAUAAUUAAGGUCUAAAUUUAGAUCAUAUGCAUGGUAAUCUAAAUGAUCACAGCCGAAUAAGGUUUACAACACGACUCAAAAAAGAAGUUUUAAUCAGGCUUGCCUACUGAUUAACAUGCUGGCAAUCAAACAUUAAUCACAAAGACAGUUCUGGUAUUAUUUCAAACUUAAUUAUCUACGGCUUGCCUAGGCAAUAAAUAAUAAGCAGCAGUUACCCAAUUUAUUAAAACAGUUUUGGAGGUUAUUUUUCUUAAAGCAUGUUGUUCUAAACGUUGCAAAGACAUGCAGGGAUUGUCAUCAAUUUCCCUAAAAAUCGGAUAAUCAAACAUGAGACUGUUUUUAUGCCAUUUUCAUGCGUUCGUAGUUUAAAUAGGUGUAACCGAGCGAGUAUAAAUGAGAUCCAAAAAUAGGGUAUCUAACAUGCACAAUGAAGAUGUAGAAUGAUUUCAGGUUCCUAAAUCAUGAUGUCUAAAUGCCCAAAAGUUACAACAUGAUUUCAAGAUGUGCAGAAGCAACAGUUUUAUAUUGAUGGUGUUAUUUAGCCUAAAGCAUGGUUUCUAAGAUAUAAAGUGAUGCCAAAUGAGAUGCUGAAACAGUAACCUAAGAACAUGGUAUCAAAUGCAUGACAUGCUUUGAAUGGGCUGAUCUUACACAUGGAUUCUAAUGCACACAUAGGAAAUGUAAACCUAAGACAUAGUUUGUACUCAUUGAUGUUGAUAGCAUGUAUAACUACCCUCCCACUUUCACUAGCCAACCCAAAUACUUGCUUACAACAAGUUAUUAUGGACCAACAUUGAAAUAAAUUGCAUAAGUAGAAAAGAAAAAUAAAAAGUUACACUAUGAACAGGCCCAGUCUUUCAGCAUCUGAUUAGGACUUCCUCCAUGAGUUAUAUAAUAAAUCACCUCAUGUGCCAUGAUUGUUCCAUAGCCUUUCUCAUGUCUGGGUGUGUCAUAGUUCCCUAAGGAUACCCAGAUUUCAUAGCCAUGACAAAGUAAGUACAUUGUGGAAAGGCCAGUGUUCAUGUGUCCAAGUUUAGAGGGAGCUGAAGGGUCCCAAGGCAAGUUUUACACAAAAGGGGCAAAACUUAAUGGUCUAAGAGUAGAGUGAAAGUGCUUGACAUAGGUUUAAAAGAGUUGAGUUGGAAACAAUUUUGACAAUGAUUAGUUUGAAACAAGUUUUGGAAAGCAAUAGAAGAGUUUGCCUUAGUGAAAACCAGUUUGAAGAAGAAAAGAAAUAGGACAAUAAGCAACUCAAAACCAAAUCAACAUACAUAGUUUAAACACAUACAGGGAACGGAGGAAUUGGGGACAAGUAGUUCACGUGUGAAAGCAUAUUUUCACACAAGUUGACACCAAAGAAGUCCUACAGAUCUUAUAUAUUGACAACAAUAGUCUUAUCACAACGUAUUCAUGCCAGGAUCUUAACAACAUUUGAUUUAAGGGUGCUAAAAAGAGUUACACAUUAGGUUUAGGGGGAAAGGGUUAAGGAUCGUAUAGUAACUAGGUUUCAUGAACACAUGUUUAUAAUGUAUUGGGGGUUAGGGUAGGGAAAAAUAGUAGUAGGACUUGUAAUAAAGCAGUAGACAUACUGAAUUAUAGGGAUGGGGUAAUCACAUGCCAAAAUAAGCAUGCUAAUUACAAGGGAGCAAGCAGAACCACAAGUAGAAGCAUAAGAGUAGAGACAUAUUGUUUUGGGUAUUGUAAAUUAAACUGAAAACAUACCUGUAAAAAAAAGAGAAUAAAUAUAGAGUGAGGAGAAAAUAGCAGUACAAUGAAGGGAAGUAGAGUAGUAUAAUGAUGAGUAGUAGAGUAGUAGAAUAAUAGAGAAGUAGAGCAAUGUAGUCACUCAGUUUUGGCUUCCAGCCAACUGAGUAUCAAGUAAAUAGCAAGAGAAGCAAGAUAGUAUGUAUAUAUGUAAGAGAGAGUUUUGAACAAUGUUCUUGUUCGUGUGUUGAGACUGUAGAAGAGAGUCAUUUAUAUAGUAGUUUGAAAACUGGUUAAAAUAGGGCAAGAAUCAUUUCUUUAGUAAUUAUAGAACUCAAUAUGAAAAAUAGGUUUAAAUCUCCCUUUAAUAAGAGAGUCAGUGUUAAUGGUAAAGAACAGGUGCCAAGUAAGGAAAGAUAUCAUACACGGCUAGCGCAUAGAAAAUAAGGAAAGAUUUCAAAAUAGUACAAGUAUAGAACACGUAAUUAAGACUAGGAUCAAAAAGAUUAUAAACUAAGGAAACAAUUAUUAAGAAUUAAGUAGCAAUGUAGACAAUGUAAGGGAAAACUAAUUAAAGCAAAAAACUAAUCAAACUAAGUGGAAAGGUAAGAGUAUGGGUCCAAAGGAAAAUGUUCAAAUCCCACCAAGUAAUAAGGAAUUCAGAAUCAAUCAAAGAGAAAGUCAUGAAAAAGAGUCAGCAUGUUUAACAUAUAAAUAGAGUAAGACAUCGGUAGUCAAGAAUUGGCACACAACUCUAUCAAAACAUGAAGAUCAAAUGAUACUAAAUCAGUGAGAAAGAUGUAAGUCUUGAUGCGAACAGUCAAGAUGAACACAGACACAUAGAUUGGUGUAAGUCUAGCUUGAGAAACUCAGUAGAAGCAUAUCAAGGCAAGGCACUCACAAGAAUUUACAAGAACUCAAAAGAAACAUGAGAGUCAGUAAGUCAUGCUAAUACAUAUAAACCAAACGAAGAACACUAAAAAAUUAGGGUUUUUGACAUAGGCUAAUUAGGGUCACGUAAGAACUCAACAAAAUUAGUCAAAACACAUAGACACAGGGGAGUAAGCACUUAAAACUAAAAAACAUUUUGAAGAAAAAGAUUUUCAGAAACCCUACUUUAGAAAGAUGACAAGCCAUUCGAGAAUCAAGAGAUUUUCCGUAAAACAAGUAAAAAUAAGUUCGAUCCUUCUCAGGUCUGUACAGAUCUAAGACGUUUAAGAGACGAAAUAAGGGUUUUCAAAAGAAUAACUCGAAUAGAGCAGAAAUCUGAAACAAACAUUUUAAACAUAGAGACUCGUAGAUUAAUACAAAAUUCAGAAGAAACAAGCAUUUUUUAAAAGGUGUUCAAGGACCCUAGUUCGAAGAUGAAGCGUUACUUUAGAAAAAUCGAAAAACCUUUGAGGAAAACAACAAAAGCUCAUAAUAUACACAUAUAUACCACCGAUCUAAAAGAAAUUGGAAAAUCUUAAGAGUUAGGGUUUCAGAGAACCUAGAGAAGAUGAGAAAACCUUAAAGAGUUACUGAUUUUAGCCGGAAAAGUCACAUAUAUUACUCAAAUGGCAUGAGGCUCCCAAAAAUGGCAGAAGGACCAUGGGUAGGAAUUGAACCGCUCCAGGUACACCUGAGGACCUUAGAGUAGUGUCACACCGGCCUGGGGUGAAGCAGACACCGGGAGAAGAUGAGAGGCCAUGGUUUCCGUAAGGAAGGUGGCUGGAGAAGGUUGACAGAGUCCAUCGGAGAGGAAGCAUUUCUACAGAGAACCAUAGAUAGAUAGAGGAUCCAGAGGCGGUGAUAAUGAGAGAAUGAGGUAGGGUUUGGGGGGUCGUUACUAAAAAGGGAAAGAGAUGAUGUGGACAGUUGAUAUCAAAGAUCAACGGCCACGAUUAGAAGAGGUUCUGGGUUGGGCAGUUAGAUAGGAACUUGGGCUUAUGUUUAUGGAUUUGGAUUGAAUUAAUUAGGCUAUAAUUGAAACAAAAAUGGCUAUUAAUUAAAACCCCAUUAAAAUUAGAUUAAUAAUUAGUAAAAAUAGCUGAUAAUUAGAUAAAAUAAAAUUAAAGCUAAAUAGGUAAAAUUAAAGUAAUUAACUAAUAUUUAAAAAUAUAAAAUGAUAGAUUAUUCAAUUAAAAUAUCAUAAAGUGUACACUUAGGCUAUAAUUGCAAAAUUGUUGUAAUUAUAGCCAAACAAUGCCAAGUUGGCUAAUAUGGGAAACAAUUAAAUUAUAAUUGGAUUUAGAAUGAUAUAUUGAGCUAAGAAAUACUUUGAAAUUACCUGUAAUGUAAUUUAUGAAUAAUUAUUCGAUAUAAAAUACUGAAUAAAUUAAAAAAAGAAUUGAUAAUAAUACGAAAAAUUAUGGAAAACACCAAUUAUUAUAAAAAGUGAUUUUGAAGGUAUAUAUGCAAACUUUAAAAGAUAGUUUGAGAAAAAAUUGGGUAUCAACAGCUGCCCCUUUUUACCCAGGAAGGAUGAAAGAGUGUCGGGUAAAGAUAUGAUAGCCAAUUUUGACCGAGCGAAACUUUUUGAAGAGGUUUAGGCCGCAUCGUGGUUUCUAAAUUGCUUACAUAUCCCUGAUUUUGUAGGAACCAGUCCGUAUGUAGUUAAAGAUCCAUAGAAGGAGUCUAGCGAUGAAGCCAUUUCAAGAACGGACGCAACACCUAGGGCUGGGUGAGUGAACGGUUUAUGGGAAUGAUUAGGUUUGAUAUGGCUUGAGAGAAGAGGAGUGAGAUCGCUCCAGCUAGGAUAGCUAUUGCUCGCCGUCUUACCUACAAAUAGAAGCAACAAUAGUGUAUACUUUGCAUAAAUUUAAACAUGAUACAAAUUCUUAUCAGACCAUGAAUGUUGUCUUUGGACGAUUAGGAAUGGCAUCCUCAGACUAUGGUGUCCUAGACCAUAAGUUGUUUGAUGCGGGGUUCGUAGGCCAUAUGAUAUUCUCAGGCUAUAAAGAUGGUGCCUCCAAACCAUGACGUCUUUGAUUAAUGAUAUGCAAAAGAUUGAAAUAGAUACUCGGGCCAUAAUAUGGUGUUCUCAGGCUAUGAAGAUGGUGCCUCCAAACGAUGACGCCUUCAGAUGAGUUGGCAAUAUUUCAGCCCGUGAAAGAUGCAGUAAUAUGAUACGGACAAGAUAGAUCUUAGUCAUGUGAAUUGACGGACAGAGCUUAGCCCGUAAGAGAAGCGAGAUAAAUACUGCUUGGGAUAGUGCUUAGUUUCGAAGAAAAUUGGAGGAAGGGCUUAACCUCGAAAGGCAGAUUGGUAUCCUUGUGCAAAUUAAAAGGCAGAAAUGUAGCCUUAUGCAAUGCGGAUGCAGAUGAAUGUAGAGCUUAACCUCGGACGGUAGAAUCGUAGCCAUAUGCAAUACCUUAUGCAAUGGAGAUGCAUAUGGAGGCAGCGUUUAGUCUCUGAAGCUAGAAUGGUAGCCUUAUGCAAUGCAGAAGCAGAAGGAGGUAAAGCUUAACCUCGGAAUAAAUAAUGGUAACCUUAUGUAAAGAUGGGAAUGCAAAUGAAGGUAGAGAUUAAUCAGGAAGGCAGAAUGGUAGCCUGAUGCAAAUUAGAAGGCAGAAUAGUAGUCUUAUGCAAUGCAAAUGUAUAUGGAGACAACGCUUAGUCUAGGAAGGCAAAAUGGUAGCUUUAUCCAAGAAAAAAUAUAACAAAUGACAAUAGAGUUUUCUUAGCUGGUAGCAUAUUACGACAUUGUGAUUACUGGUGUGAAAUAUGAAGCAGCACCGGUGUGUGCUGAUAGCAAAUGUUGGAAAGUGCAACGGCUCUAAGAAUCGUAUUCUUGAAAAAUGUUGGGCAUACACUAUGUUUAAUGAUUUUGCAAUCAUAAUUCCUGCAUCCAAAGAAGAAUCGUGAGUUCUAUAAGGGGGAAGGUUAGUUCAUAUCCUCACUGGCUUUGCUUGAUUGUGACGUGGUUUAGGACAUUGCAAUCUUUCCUAAUAUGAAAUUUUGAGGGUCCUCCUAAAAAUGUUGCCCCAGUUUGAUGGGUUGACGCUUCUGACUGUUGCUCGUGCGGUGACCGGCUGAAAUUACUUCGGAAUUUUGAGGGUCCUUCUCAAAAUUCUGCCCAUGUUUCUAAUUGCGUGAGGAAAUCAAAUUUUUAUAGAAUUCUGACCGAACCCAUAGGGAUGCCUACGUAUUCCCUCUUAAAUAGGAAUCAGGUCAGGCAUAGUUCAAUUUACCUCAAAUAAGGAAAGCAUAAAGAUUACAUAAAGUAACAUUUGAAUACAUUUGAAUUGAUCGGCUUUGCUCCAUUUCUGCAAGUAUGAGGGCUCCUCAUGUCAAAACUCGAUGAACCUUGUAUGGACCCUGCCAGUUGGGAGAAAACUUCCCUUUGGCUUCAUCUUCUUGCGAAAAAAAUUUCUCCAACACCAGCUGCUCCGGUAUAAACUAUCUUGGCUUGACUCUUUAGUUGAAGGCCCUGGAUAUUCUAUUCUGAUAGAGUUGACCACGGCAGACUGCAUUCAUUCUCUUUCCGUCUAUAAGGUCUACUUUCUCAUAGAAAAUUUUUACCCAAUCUGCAUUUUCGAGUUCAGCUUCUUGUAUGAUCCUUAGGGACGAAAUUUCCACCUCAGCGAGAAUGACAGCCUCUGUACUGUAAACAAGCAAAUGGGGGGUUUCCUUGGUUGAUGUGCGGACUGUGAUACGAUACCCUAGAAAAUCAAAUGAUAAUUUCUCGUGCCACUGUAUGUGAUUCUUUAUCAUUUUCCUCAAUAUUUUCUUGAUAUUCUUGUUGGCAGCUUCUACAGCUCUAUUUAUCUGAGGUCUGUAGGCAAUUGAAUUCUUGUGUUUGAUGUUGAAAUUUUCGCACAUAGAUUUCAUCAAGUUUUUGUUGAGCUUGGAUCCAUUAUCAGUAAUGAUUGAAUAUGGAAUACGAGUCGACAAACAAUGCGGUCGCGGACAAAGUCUUCUAUGACUUUCUUAGUCCCUGAUUUGUAAGAUGCUGCUUCGACCCAUUUGGUGAAAUAGUCAAUGGCUACUAGGAUAAACCUAUGUCCGUUGGAGGAUCGAUUGGUCCAAUAACGCCCAUUCCCCGGGUGGCGAACGGCCACAGUAAGCUUGUUAUGUUAAGCAUGCUUGGAGGUACCUUUAUCAUGUCUGCAUGUAUCUGACAGGGGUGGCAAUUCCAAAAAUACUGGAUAUAAUCAAUUUCCGUAGUCAUCCAAAAGUAACCAGCCUGGAGUAUCUUCUUUGCUAAGACAAAACCGUUUAUAUGUGGACCCCAGGCCCCAGCAUGAAUUUCCUUUAGUAACUUGGAUGCUUCCUUUGCGUCGACCGUUGGAGGCUCGAUUGGUCCAAUAACGUACAUUCCCCGGGUGGCGAACGGCCACAAUGAGGUUGUUGUGUUAAGCAUGCUUGGAGGUACCUUUAUCAUGGCUGCAUAUAUCUGACAGUGGUGGCAUUUCCAAACAUACUAGAUAUAAUCUAUUUCCAUAGUCAUCCAAAAGUAACCAGCCCGGAUUAUCUUUUUUGCUAAGACAAAACCGUUUAUAUGUGGACCGUAGGUCCUAGCAUGAUUUUCCUCUAGUAACUUGGAUGCUUCCUUUGCGUCGACACAUCUUAAUUCUAACUCAGGAGUCCUCCUAUAUAGGAUUCCUCCACUAUGAAAGAAUUUAUUGGUCAAUCUCAGAUGUGUGCAUUUUUUAGUUGGAUUCAAAAGCCUCAGGUACUCUCCUUUUGCCAAAUAUUCCUUGAUAUCAUGAAACCGAGCUUUCUAUCUGAUUCUUCUUCAACAUGGGCACAGUAAGAUGGAUGAUUAUAGAUUUUCACUAGAAUGGGAUCAACGAAAUUCUAAUCGGGAUGUUGUAUCAUAUAUGAUAGGGUAUCCAAUGCAUCGGCGAACUCAUUCAGGAUUCAGGGAACAUGUUGGAAUUCUGUCUCCGUGAACUCUUUCUCAAUUCGUGUACAUGAUGCAAAUAUGGGAGUAUCUUGGAGUUCUUGGUCGUCCAUUCUCCUCGUACUUGAUGUGGAAGUAAGUUUGAAUCCCCAAUCACUAGAAGCUCUUGAAUGUUCAUGUCAAUGGUCAUUUUAAGUCCUAAGAUGCAGGUUUCACACUCAGACAUAUUAUUGGUGCAGGGGAACCUGAGUUUGGCAGACACUGGAUAAUGCUGACUGAUUUUUGAUAUUAUGAUUGCUCUUAUGACAACUCUUUUGAAGUUUGUUGCUCAAAGAAAAGUCUCCAACUGUCAUAGGAUUCUGCAAUGUCUUCUCCUAUGAAUGACACCUUCAUAUCAGGAAAAUACAUUUUCAGGGGGCCGCAUCCUCCAUCCAUGGGGUUUCAGCAAGGUGGUCUGCAAGUGCUUGUCCCUUGACCGCUUUCUGAGUUACAUAAAGAAUGUCAAACUCACUCAACAGGAUUUUCUACUUGGCUAGCUUACCAGUGGGCAUGGGCUUCUAAAAGAUAUACUUCAAGGGGUCCAUUCUUGAUAUGAGAUAUGUAGUAUAGGCGCAGAAGAAAUGUCUCAGCUUCUCAGUUACCCAAGUUCAAGCACAAAAGGAGCGUUCCAAUAGGGAGUAUUGUGCCUUGUACGGGGUCAACUUCUUACUUAGUGGCUUGUUCCUUCCUCUCUAUUUCAUCAUGCUACCCGAGGAUGCAGCCAAAAGCUCCAUCUAUCACUGCAAGGUAGAGUAAUAAGGGUCUACCUAGCUCGGUCAGGACUAAGACUGGUGGUGUUCAUAGGUACUCCUUGAUUUUUUCGACGGCCUUUUGGCAGUCAUCAGUCCAUUGGGUAGUAGUGUUCUUCUUUAACAUCUUAAUGAUUGGCUCAUAGAUAACUGUAGACUGUGCUAUGAAUCGGCUAACGUAUUUAAUCCAUCCCAUGAAACUCAUCAUAUCCUUCUUAUUCUUUGGCAGUGGUAGGUCCUGAAUGGCUUUGACUUUCAAUAGAUCCAGUUCUAUUCCUCGGCGGCUUAAUAGAAACCCAAUCAACUUCCCAGCAGGAACCCCAAAUGCGCUACUGUAACCUUAGAGAACCUCGUCGUCUCCGCUGUUCGCCACCAUCAACCGGCGGCCGAAAAUUGCCUCCGCUGGAGGCGGAGCUCCGAUGUCCACCAAAUUAACACUGCUUGUUCCUCUCUUUCUCCCCUUUCCAAAUCUCCAAAACUCAUCCAUCAAAUCUUGCAAGAAAGUUCUGACCCUCCGCCAUGACCGGCGACGGCACCACCCAAACACUACCCAAAUUAACACCACAUGUUCCCCAUCACCUUCAAUCCUACCCAAACUUCUCAAAUUUCAAAUCGAAACUAGAAACCCUAGAUUUUUUUUAUGAUCACAUGGAUAAAGUUUGUGCUCAAUUAGGACUUUAGUCACAUGAUUACAAUGAAAACACGUGAUUAAGGUCUAAUUCGACCCAUAACAAGGCUAAUUCAAAGAUUCAAUUCUAGACUUUACUUGUUCAUCUCAGACAGGUAUGCCUUCCACUUCUAUUUCUUUUUAGCUUCUUCUUGUUCGUAUCGUACUUUUGCAUGCCCAGGAUAAUCAUAAUUUAACACCUUUUAAGUUUUGUUUUGUUUUGACCUUCAUUUAUCAGUUUAUUUUUUUUUCAAGUCGUUGUGGCUUAUUGCUUAAUUUAGUUUUUAGUCCUUCUGUAAUCAUCUCAUUUAUGUAUAGCUUAGUUUUAGUUAUUGACAUUUGUAGUAUUAAUUGGUCUUCUUCUUCUAUUUAAGGACCCAAUUCAAAAUUGCUUGGUUUGAAGUUUGGUAUGGGUUUAUUGGGAAUUCAGAAUUAGGUUAAUUUUAGGAUAGGUUUGAAAUCCCAAGGAAAAGAGGUAAAUCUAGUUGGGUUUACGCGUUGGGUCACCUUGACCCAUGAGAUGAAGUAUGGGUUAAUUGACCAAAGUAAAUACAAGAUAACUGGGGCUAAUUUGGGUAGAUCACAUAGAGAAUCUUGCAGCAACAGAAAAAAGAAGCCCCUAGAAGUUUCUAGGUUAGGGUCCUAACUUGAAUUUCAGGUUAGAUGGUAUAACUUGGGUAGCAAGUCAGGAUUACUAAGGAUUUUUAAGCAAAAAAACUUAAAUUAAAAGGACUCAAAUUGAAAACCAAAAAGGUUCCCUAAUUGCUUGCCUUUAAAGGCAUUCAUUCUUGCCUGUGAAGGAGGGAGGAGAAAAAAGUCUGAAAGGAGAAAAUAAUCAGAAAAUAUAAAACUUUACUGUUUCAUUGAUUUUUCUUUGAUUGCUGAAAUUCUCUGAAAUAUUUCCUGGUAAACAUGGGUUUGAUAUAGAUUGGUUUGGGGUCUGAAUGAUGAGUUUGGGGAUUUGGUCGAGUUCUGUUGAUUGUGACACCACAAUUCUUAUCUUGAAUCUAGUUAUUACUGUUUGUCUUUGCUGCUAACCAUGUUCUUGCUAUUGUUCACUGCUGGUUCUCUUACCCCACUUUCAUUUUUGCAUUCCAGGUACUGGUUCCUAAACUUGUAGAACUGAUUCUCAAAGCUGGAGUUGAAUAGAAAUGGAACUUGUUUUUUUAGCUUAACGUUCAGUUGUGUUCAUAGUUUAGUUCUUUUGCUUAUUUGUGGUUCCUGUUUUCCACCCUGAAUACGUAACAAGAUUUAGUACCUUGAAUAUUGGUUGAUAAUUUGGAUGAGGUCACCCCAAGUGUAUUCGUCUAGUGUUACUCAUGUUUGUUUUUCAAGAGUUGUAUUUGAGACUGAUUAAAUACAACCAAUUUAGGAUAUUUUGGAUUCUUUAAAUGUGAAUUCGGUAAGUUUAAAGUCUGUUAAAAUAGGGACUUUGUGUGUAGGUUGGGUUGAGGAUUCAAUACCAUGGAUCUAAGUUUGAUCUAGUGCAUAUCUUCUUUCCUACAGCAGAUCCUUAUAUUUGUUCCUUCAUUUUAUCUAGUUUAAAUUAAUUUCAGAUCUGGUUUAGUCUCUUAGUUAGAGCCUGAGUUUGGCAUCAGGUGCUUUUACACUGUUUCGUUAGCAUUCACCUAAAGCUUUGUAUUCUUGGAAAACCAUGACUCAAACAAUGAAUUUAUGGUUCGACAAGUCACAAAGGUGGUAUUACGUGUGCGAGUUUUCCAUUGGUCUUGGAAGCAUCACAAUAGGGUCUAGAUUUCAUGUAAUAGAUCUAUGAUUUAACAUGUUAAUUGAUUAACAAACUUUAUUCAGCUCAGUGAGUUUUUUACAAUAAUGGUUACUAGGAGUCGCCCUUUGGGUAAAUGGACAUCUUAAAUAUGACUAUUGCGUUUUCCUGGCACAUUGGUUCAAUCUGUAAUAUUCUAGACCAACGAAAUUAGGAGCAUUAAAUUGGGCAUAAAAUAGGCCCAAAUGAAAGGAAAUCCUAUUUGACUCUCUUUCUUUCCAUGAGCAAGGUUCAUUUGAGCCCAAGGCUGAACAACUCGUGAAGGAGUCUACUCAAUUGCUUGAGUGAAAUAAUUCUCUUUGGGCUUGCAGGUUUGUAACUUGUUUCUUUUAAAUCAGUUCGUAUGGCGAAGUAUUUCGUUCAAAAUAAAUAAAAUCUUUUGAUGAUUUCCUUAAUUAAAUAAUGGGGGUGAGAUAUAUUAGAUAACAUAAAUAGUUUAUGGCCCUGCAGAUAUAGCUGAAAUUCCUUUUACAAACAGAAUUUGAGGUGUACCACUUAGCGAAUUUUCAUGGACUUCGCGAUUUUGAAAAGCACAAAAUUACCUUAGGCGCGCUAGUUAAAUAAUGUACUUUCCUAAAUACGGGUGCGCAUUUAUGUGACCCAAAUCCAAAUCUCAACAUUAGGUAAAAUGUGUUGCGAGCUACGGGUGCAUUUAUGUGACACGGUUCCAGGUGUGUUUUAACAACGUUGAAAUCUUCUUAAAAUUAAAUAAAAGCGGUUUUAAAAGUUAAAAUUUGCACUUAGGUUCAAAAUGUAUUAAAAUUGGAUAACUAAGCCCGAUAUAACAAUUGGGUGACCGUACUAGAACCACAAAACUCGGGAAUGCCUAACACCUUCUCCCAGGUUAAAGAAAUUCCUUACCUAGAUUUCUGGCUCGCAGACUAUAAUACAGAGUCAAACAUUCCUAGAUUCGGGAUUUAAACCGGUGACUUGGGAUAUGAUAAAUUAUCCCAAGUGGCGACUCUGAAUCUUUAAAUAGAUAAAUCAUGUUUUGAUUGUCCAUUCAUUGAAAAAAAUUUCCAUAUCUACGCCCUUCACAGGGUGUAGUGUAUAAAAAGAAGGUAUGGCAUGCUCAUCCAACAUAUUUAUUAAGGUGAUUUUAAUCAAAAGCAAACGAUGACUUAUUUUUAUUUAAUGAAACAAAAUGACCAUUCUUUUUUCAAAAUUUUUAGAAUAUUCACCUUUGCCAUUACGGCCUUUCAGCACUUCUAAACGAAGAUUUUAGGCAUGUGUCGGCUAACCAGCCAAAACCUUGAAAACUGACUAAAGGUGAUUGUUCUUACGAACUUCCGGUGCCCUUUUGAGGGACAUUCGGCUAUUUUUGACAAGAAUGGCAUCACCUUAGUUAUUUAAAGUAAAACUAAAUUUUGUUCUUUUGGGCUAUUUUUGCAAAAAGGAAAGUUGGACUCAAUGGGGGUUGCCUACAUAUCUCACACCCUGUGAGAAUCAAACUGGCGUAGUACGGGCACAUAAAAUAAAACCAGCUAUUUUUUAAAACAAUACCUUUUUCUUCUUUCUUUUUCUUUUCAUUUUUCUCAAAAUUCAACAGAGUUUUAAUACAAUUUGGACAUUGGAUUUUUCAUUCAAAACUCACUUAAACCUCAUAAUGCUAUUUUUUUCAACUUUCUCUCAUCAAUCAAAAGACGGUCAGCAUGCAAACCCGAAGCAAAUAAAUACAACAGAUAGCACGUAAAAUAUGCAUCAGGAUGGUUUGUCAUUUUGCAUACACCUAUAAUAGACGGACCCAACCCCUGUGUUGACUCCCCUAAGUCAAAUGCAUGUGAUGCAACAAAUCGCUCCUACUGGGGAUCUGGCAUGAGGCAAGAGUUAUUCUAGUUCUAAAAAACUUCGGUUUAUUUUUUAGACCUAUCUUACCCGAGCGGACAAUUCGAAAGGAGGGCGGCGUACCGGGAAUACAGAAGGUUCGCCGGCUUUGCAACUUGUCCGAACCUCGUUCUAAAUUUGGAAAUUGACUAUAACAAAAAAGAAGUCACACGAAGUGCACAUUCCUUCAUGAUUUAGAAGUUUAGAGAGAGGAGGGACUCAUAACAAUUUAUAUACAAUUCAUCAAUAUUACAGCAGUAAAAACCAACAUUUAGCACAUUAGGCCCAAACAUGUAAGAAAAUUAGAUAAAGUCAAAUAUAACAAUCUAUCCAAGCUCGAAUUCUGAACCCUAAACCAGAGGUUCUGGGUUCGAUCCCCAGUAGAGACGCCAGAGCUGUCACACCAACUUUUACCUACACCCGCGAAAGGGAGUAUAUAAGGAAGUUAUUUCCAACUUGAAGUUAUAAUCGAAGCGGGAUUAUUUAUUUAAAGAACUCAAAGUCUCCACUUGGGAGAUUUAUGGCAUCCCAAAUCACUAAUUUCAAAUCCCAAAUCGAGGAAUAGGUUGACUCUGUAUUACAGUCCGCAAACUAGGAAUCCGGGUAAGGAAUUCUGUUAAUUCGGGAGAAGGUGUUAGGCAUUCCUGAGUUCUGUGGUUCUAGCAUGGUCGCUUAACUGUUAUUGUUGGAAUAAUUAUUUGACUUUAAAAACAUUCUAAACCUAUGUGUGUUUUAAUUUUAACCGCUUUUAUUUAUUUUUUAAAGAAGAUUUAACAUCGUCUAAAAUAUGUCUUUUGAUAGCGCCACAUGAAAUGCACCCGCAAUCUAAAACACAUUUUAUUCAAUGUUAUAAGGAUUUGGAUUUGGGUCACAUGAAAUGCACACCCCAGUUUAGAAAGGUAAUAAUUAAAAUACUCGCCUAAAGCAACUAUACUGAGAUGAACCUCAAACUAAGCUAUCACAAACAAAUAGUAAAAAUGAAUACAUGAAAAGAAGUAUACUAAGAUGGAACUCAAACUAAGCUAUCAUAACACAUGAUACUCAGAGAUAGGUCCUUAUAUUUCUCAGGGUUGGAGAGACAGUACAUGGUACCUUUAAACACAACAAAGCAAACAAGUGAACUAUAUUAUCAAUCCUACAAAAAAUGAACAUGGCUCAAAGCUCCAGAUUUCACUUUUUAUUCACAAAUCAAGCUAUACAUUCAAAUGGAGUUCAUAAAUGUAUACCUGGAAUCGAAGGAACAAAGAAAUAAUGAAGGAUCAGCAGUGUUAGCAGCAGAAAUCGACACCAGCAAAAACAGAACCCAGAUUCAGUGAUGAAACCACAGAGUUAGUUCCAAAUCCAAUAAAACAGUAAAACUCAACACACUUGACUCCAAAAGUCUUGCCACACACCAAUAUCAAAUUCAUCCCAAACACUUAAUGAACCCAAGAUUGCUUCAGUAGAUUGAAAAUUUAGAAAUCAAAGAAGAAUAUCAACGGAAUAGUGGAAAUUUGUAGCCAUUCUGUUUUCUCUUAGAUUUUUUGCUCUUCCCCCCUCCAUUUAGCUUAAGGUAACAAAGCCUUUAUGGGCAAGCAACAAGGGUAACUAUCAGCAUUUAAAUUUGCAUUUUCAUCCCUUUAAAAUUUCUAUUUUUGCUACUUAACCCUCAUUUAUUGACUUGUUACCCAAGCUAUAGUCUGAAAUUCAAUAAAAGACCCCUACUAGAAGCUUCCUAAUUUUGUUAUUCAAGAUAUUCUCCUGCCUAAUUACCCAAACUACCCUCUUAAACCUUGAAAAUUACCCCUCUAGUCUAAACCAAUGUAAAGAAGGGUCAAGCUUGACCCAACACUUAUCAAGCCCUUUUGAAGUAGUCCAGAAUGGCCUCAACGCCCAAACGAAAUCAGAAACUCAAUGGGAUACAAACGAGAUUAAUUACCUUAUCUUUUCAAAACUAAAACUAGACUCGAAUGAGUAAUUGACUAAACUAAGUAUUCUAGAUUAAUCAAUAAACCAAGAAACAAGUUAAAAUGCUAACCUAAAAUUACCAUGCAUAGGGAAGCAAAUGGGAAAAAAACAUAACUGAAGAGUUAUAAAACAAGAAGACGCAGAGAAACACAAGAUGAAGGUGAAAGCAAAUAAAAAAACAAAAAGAAAAAAGGAAACUCACUGAAACUCGAGCAAAUGAGAAAAGGGGUCCAGAUCCUCAUUUCCCCAAAUUUUAUGACCAAUUAUAAUGUUAAUCGUGUGUUCUUAAUAAGAACACACGAAUAACAUCACAAUAUACCCAAAUCUUCAAACAAAACUUGCAUAAGGGACUUUUCGAAAAUUAGGGUUCAUCCCUUUGACUUAAAAAUUAGAAGGAUUCUGGCGCGAUUCGAGGGGAGCGGAGGGUGAUAUGGGUAUGAGGGAGAGGAGACGGAGCUUUUUAUAAUUUUGAGGGCCAUCGGAGACUCUCCACUGCUGUAUGGCGAGUUCCGGUAGCGGUUGGUGGUGGGAUUUUAAGGGCGGCGGGCUAAUUAAGGUUUGGGGGUGAGUUGGUCUCUGAAAGAGACGAUAUGGGUGGGUAAGGGUUUCAGAUAUAUACAUAAUAAUCCUCAUUUAUGAUCCGUUGGAUUAUAUUACCCCAACAACUCAGAUCAAAAGUCAAUUAGACGAAGUCGUUUUAGGAGGCGAGGGGAUCGGGCAUUUGGGAAUCUGUUUAGGGCCACUUGAGGCGAGUAUUUUAGGUGGUUUUGAACGGGUUACGGGCUUGGGGGAAUUAAAUCUAAAAUAACCCAAUCUAGCCGUCUUUUACUUCCUUCUCAAUUCCUUUUAUGUCUUCUUUUCUUUCUUUUUUUUUUCAUUUUUCUGAUUUCUUUUAAAUUCUUGUUGAAUAAAACUAAAAAUAAACCUAAAUUAAUCUCUAAUAAAAAAAUUUUAGUUAAAUACAUCUAAUGCUUACAACUCCUAAUUAAAAACAAAUUAAAAAAAACUACAAAAAUUCUAAACUAAAAUUAAAAGUGUGAAAAUAAACUAUUUUUGUGUGAUUUUAUUUUUUUGUAAAAUAAAUAAUUACUAAACUAAUCCGACAAUGCUAAAUUAAAUCCUAAACAUAAAUGCACAUAUUUUUUAUAUUUUAUUUAAUUAAAGUACAUAAAUAAAAUACAAACAAUUAAAAGAAAAUGCCACGAAAACCACAAUAUUUCAAACACUAAAAAAGAAUUAUUUUGUUUUGAAUUUAUGGGGGCAAUUCUUAUUAGGAAAAAAUCAUGUGCUCGCAUUCAGGUCUCUGAGUUUACUUUCUAACGGCAUGGACGGAUUACAAAUCCGACACUCCAAGCUCAAGAUAUAAUUAUUAUCGAAGGUACGCAAAUCUGGAAAUUCACCGCAGUUUAGUCGAAUUCACAAAUUUCUGUUGACAGUCCAAAAAGAGAUCUGUCAUAAAAUUGAUAAAAGUUUUAGAUCUCCAAUUCUAUUUUUUAACGGCAUGGACGGAUUGCAAUUCUGACACUCCAAGCUCAAGAUACAAUUAUUUUUCCCGAAGGUACACAAAUUUGGAAAUUUACUGCAGUUAAGUCAACUUCGUGAAUUUUCUGUUGACAGUUCAAAAUUGAGCUUGUAAAACAGUCUUCCACUAUGUCAUCACAAAGUACAUCAUCAUACAACUCAUUGACACCCAAAAAAACUUUAGUGUUCAAAAAAGGAAAAGAAAGGGAGUAAAUUUGAAGGAAAUAAUAUUUACUCGUUUCUCCAGUUCAGACAACGGCAUCGUUGAGCCAGGGUCACCCUCUAAGAAAAAUCCAAUAUCGAUACUAAGAGAAUCCAAGUCAAUAAACUCACUUUGGCUCGUGUCCUUAGCCUUCUUCUUUGAUGGAUCCCAGUAUAUGUCGUGACUAACGUCACUCUCAUUUGAACUGGAAGUUACACUAACAUUCACAAUCUCAUUAGGCAAAAUAGAAGCUUGAGUCCUUUCCUCAUUUGUUGGCACGACAUUGGUUGUCUUCACAAUAUUUUUGUUUGGUGAAGUAGGAGACGCUAUCCUUUUACAAGGAUUGUUCGUCACCUCCGCAGUGACAGCAAUUGUUUUGAAAGUCAACAAAAUAUGUUUAGCUCCUUUGUCCAUAUGGGAAUCCCCAGGGUAGACUUGGAUAAGACCUUGGUGUUUGGCGAAGGAUCUUUAUAUCUUGACUUGGACUUGGAAGACCCUUAGAGAGUGCCCUUUUGACGUUGAUCAUCUUUGGAGGAUAAAGGAAUGUCAUAUUUCCUUGGAACUUUCAAAAUGACAUGAGUACUUAGUCCGGAAGAGUGCACUUUAUGACCUGACCACCAAUAUGCAUACUCACGAGUCAUUAGAGGGCCCCAUCUGAUGGAUGCGUAGAGAAAAUAACCUUUGACGAACCUCCAAGACGAACACAAGAAUCCCAUAAUUGCACUAGCAUUUUCAGUGAGCCGUCAUAUGGUCGCUCUAUGAGUUUGCUAGGAAUAUCUUAACAAAAGCCGAAUUGACGACUAAACCUAUGCAGGUUAUAAGAUUCCACAAUAUGAAUGUCAUCAUGCCUAAGGGUGAUGAAGCUUGAGCGAAGACUUAUAAAAAAGUCACUCCAAGAAUUCGAUUGUUUUUCACGGUCGGUAAAAUCCAAUUUCCUCCCUUGUAGCAUAUCCAAAUGGUGAAGUUGUCGUGCACUAACACAUUGAAAUAACUCAUGGGCAUUACUAAGGUCAAAGUUUUUGGCCAUCUUUCUCGUCAGAAACCUUGCACAUUUGCGGACCUCGUUGUGGAUGCUUAACACGAUAGUACGUGUCAAAAUAUGCUCUUAUCCAUCCAUAUACAUAAUGAAUAGGAAAGAGUGCUUUGCAGGCGCCCAAAUAUUGAGAAGUGGAGAUCUCCUUCAAGCCAUGAUAAAUAAUUGCAAGGAUGGGAACCACCAAGGAAAACUUCUCUCCAUGAGCUAUCAGACUCGUGAGUUUGAAGACACUAGCGCGAAUGUAGUCGAUCUUCUUGUUAGGGAACACCACUCCAAGAAUUCGAUUGUUAGUCACGAUCGGUAAGAUGCAAUUCCCUCCUUUAUAUCAUAGCCAAAUAGUGAAGUUAUCGCGCACUAACUUGUUGAAACAACUCACGGGCAUUACUAAGGUCAAAAUGCUUGGCCAUCAUCUCUCUAGAAACCUUGCACAUUCGCGAACCUUGUUUUGGACGCUUAACACGAUAGUAGGUGCCAAAAUAUGCUCCUAUCCAUCCAUAUUCAUAAUGAAUAGGAAAGAGUGGACCUGCCCAAAUCUUGAGAAGUGGAGACCUCCUCCAAGCCAUGAUAAAUACUUGCAAGGACGGGAACCACUAAGGAAAACUUCUCUCCAUGAGCCAUCCAAAUCGAGAUUUUGAAGAUAGUAGCACGAAUGUAGUCGAUCUUCUUGUUGGGGAACACAAAUUUGCAAAGCCAACAUACAAGGAAAGCCGCCAAAUAAGUCUCAACUCUAAGUGACUCCUCCAUGCCAAGCUCAAUAGAAGAGGAAUUCUCCCCAUUGGUUCGUGGUAGGAAGGUCGCGUCAAUAUUCCCAGAAGGAUUAUGAUUCAAUCUCGGCCUUGUAGUCCAAUUCCUUGGUAACUUUUGUAGAGGAUUGGCAUACCUACUCGAACCUCAAAACUAAAACUCCACCCAAUCAUGAAUGGAGACCUCAUAGUAAUCAUCCUUCGUGAGUUUGUAGAACGCCGAAAAUAGGUGCACACAACUUCUUGGGAUGAAAGGUUUUCCUUGAUUGUCCGAUUAUGUCAACUCCUUAACCAAGUGGAUAACUUCGUCAUAGAAGGACCCAUGUACCGGAAGGCCUCCGAUUGCUUGCAAGUCCCACAAAAAGAUGGAGAGUUCGCCAAUAGAGGUAGAAAUUGUGUUGGUAGAUGGACGCCAAAGCUCACAAAUGGCACACAAGACAUUCUCAUUGUAGUCAUAUGUGAACAACGAAGCAGAGAUGGCGUCAUAGACCUUGAUGCAAUCCAGAAUUAACUUUUUGUUGGAAAGAACAUCUUAUACCCACUCCCAGUAUUUGGAUGUAUAGCAAACUUCACCCCAGCAGAAAGGAGGAACACUCCAAGUGGCGAGAGUUCACUCGUGAUCACGAUAGGGAGGAUUAGCAGACACGAUCUUCUGAUGGGUGGAGGACAUCAAAAGUAGGACCUUCAUGUUGGUUUCUUUACCCGAAAAUCUGUCCAAUCCAUCUUUCAUCUCUCUAGUAGACCAUUCUACAAGAUCAAGGGAGGCUUCAAGCGGGUUCCUAGCAAGUGUGAAAGAACCUAUCACCGGGGAUGAACCUUUAAAGCGAGAACUUGGGCGCGCGGAUUCUGCUAGUCACUAGUAAUCUCAAGGUGUGGAUAUGGUGUAUCAUGGUCAAUAAAAUGCAUCCUUGUUGAUGGAAUUCACAGCCCGAUGUGCCACUCCGAGAGUCUGUAAAAAAAAGAGAAAAGGGAAGAAUCUCCGAAAAUCUGCAAGACUGAAAGGGGCAACAUGUCACAAUAGAUUGCCUAAAUUCGAGAAAAAGUCUAGGAAGAUAUCAGGACAUUCUGGUUAUGAUAAUUACCUAAGUCGUAGCUUCGUACGUCUAGUCCGUAGCCGCAAACCGCUCGUGAUAUUGAUGUUCCUACACCAAGACAUGAUUUUUGGUUAAGAUGAGCAAAGCUGAAAUAUCGAAUGCGACAGAACUUAGAACCAAGUAAUCUUAAGGUGAAUUUCAUCAGCAAUGAUGCAUUUUACCGACCAUGAUACACCAUGACCACACCUUGAAAUUACUAAGCUAAAUCUAGCCAAAAGCACUUAUAUACUAUAAAUAUAACUAUAAGAAACCAAUCUAAUUAAUGUAAUCAAGAAUUUAACAUGAAAUCGAAAAAUUGUCCCAAAAACGUCACCCCGGACCCAUGUCUCAAAAUUGGUUAAAAGUCACUAAAUAUGAACACCCAUUCAACCACGCAUCUACCUAUAUUAAAAUUACUUAAUUCUGAUACCAAAAAUCUCAUUCAAAAUCCAAAACUUUGGUUGAAGAACUUUACAGCUUUUUCCAAAAAAUUUACAACCCAAAACCUUAAUCAAAAUGAUGAAAUUAACAAUGGAUUAGUGGAUAUUAAUCAAAAACAAGAUUAGAAUUCUUACCCAGAUUUUUCCUCUUAAAAUCCAUCAAAGGCUCGCCUAAAUCUGAGCUCACUUUCUCAAGUGGUAAAGAAAAUGGCAAACCCUUGAUUUUGAAAUGUUUAUAUCUGCCCAGGCCCAAUCCUCUUCGCAAAUGCGGAAUAUGCCUCGCAUUCGCGAAUCACAAAGUUUGCUUCUUCCCAAAACCUUCUACACAAAAGCAACGUCCUACUCGUGAACGCAAAGCUUUCUCUGCCUAACCUUACAUGAACACGACACCUUAUACGCGUACACAAAGAACAAUUUUCUUCACCUUCCCGAACGCGUUGCCAACUUUGCAAACGCAAAGAACAAACUACACUGGCCUCCCAGAUACCCUAUGCGGAUGCGAAGCCUCUCUCGCGAACGGGAUGAAUGAAACCAGCAACAGAAUAUCAGAUUUUCUGCAAUUCCAACAAGUCCAAUUCUAGUAUGUGAACAACCCAUAAUCCACUCGAGGUCCCCAGGAGCUCAACAAACAUACCAAUAAGUCCUAAAAUAUUAUAUGAACUUAGUCGAGCCCUAAAAUCAUAUCAAAAAAUUUUAAAACAUAAAAUUGUGCCCCAAUUCAAGCUUAAUGAACUUUAAAACUUCAAACUUUUACAAUCGAUUUCAAAAUCUACCAAAUCACGUCUGAUUGACCUCUAGAUAUGCACAAGUCACAUGUGAUAUUAUGGACCUACUCCCACUUUUGGAAUCAAAAUUCGACCCCGAUAUUAAAAAUUCCAUUACCAUUCAAACUUCCCAAAUAUUCACCGUUUGUAAUUUCAAUUCUAAUCCAGCUACAUACCUCCAAAUCACAAUCCGAACACGCUCCUAAAUCUAAAAUCACCCAAUGGAGCUAAAAAAUCGACGAAACUCCAUUCCGGUGUCGUUUCCACACAGUACCAACUAUGGUCAAAUUCCUAGAACUUAAGCCUCCAUUUUAGGGACUAAGUAUCCCAUUUCACUCCAAAACCUCCCAGCAAGUCACAUAAGUAUAAAAUAAUACUAGGGAAGCAGUAAAUAGGGGGUUCAGGCUAAUACUCUCAAAAUGAGUGUCCGGAUCGUCACAUCCUCCUCCUCUUAAAAUAAUCAUUCAUCCUCGAACAAGCAUAGAGACACACUACAAGUGGUAAAAAGAUGAGGAUAACGGCUAAGCUUAUCAUGCUCGAUCUCCCAAGUCGCCUCCUUGACCAGCUAACCCCUCCAAUGAACUGUCACAGAAGGAAUGUUCUUUGACCUCAACUUUUGAACAUGCCUGUUGUCACAAUCCUAGUUCUUCCUCCGAACUUGUCGUGAUGGAACCUAGAUUAUAUGACUAGGUAAGCCUAACAUUUGCGGAUAAAGGAACAUAACUUGAAAAGUAUCAGCUAAAAGUAAAUUUUAAAAAAGGAAAUGCGAUAUCGCUCAGAAUAUACAAAUAUCGCUUCCGAACAAUAUUUAUAACUCUCCCAAAACCCGAAAUGUCAUAAGUCACAAGAUAAAGAAGAACAUAAUACUCCUAUACUCCAGAGUCUAAUACAAGAAGUCUUUAACUUGAGGAAAGUAGAUAGGGACUCCAAAGGUCUGCGGACGCGGCAAAUAUAUCUCAAAGUCUCUACAUUCGUCUUGUCUCACUAGUAAUGUGGCUGAAAAGAGGUACCUAGAUCUGCACAUGAGAAACGUGCAAGAAAAGAUAUGAGUAUACCACAGGGAUACCCAGUAAGUGCCAAGCCUAACCCCGGUCGAUUAUUGAUGAGAUCAAGUUGGCGCCAUACUGGUAUAUAUAUAUAUAAUAAAAUAAUAUAAAAUAAAUAUUGUAGUAAAGAUAAGUAUUAACAUUUAACGAGAAUGAAAUCACAUAAAAACAAUAGCUCAAUACAUAGAGACAACAACAAGGGAUCUCUCAGGAUAUUGUCACGUAUUCUCAAAUUUAAAUGUCCAUGAGGAUCUCCUGGAAUACCGUUCUGUAGUCCCGCAGUAAAUAUAUAGUACAUGGGGAUCUCCAUAGGAUACCGUUCCGCAGUCCUAAACGUAAACAUGCAGGGGAUCUCCCGGAAUACUGUUAUGUAGUCCAAAGUUGAAUAUGCAACUAAAUCAACAUAAACAAGAGUUUCAAUAAGGAAUUCUAUAGUUUAGACUAAGUUCAUAUCAAAGAAGACAUGUAAUCUCCACUAAGCAUGUUGCACAGAGUUCAGAUAGGCAUUUAAGGCAAGUAGGCAUGCUUUCUAAGCUAACCAAGAUAGUUAUAUAUACUAGUAUUAACCAAUUAAAGGAAAAUAGAUAUUUGCUUAAUGAAAACAGGGUUUUUCAACAAAUAGCCUAUGUACGCACUCGUCACCUCAUGUACAUGGCGCUCAUAUAUCAAACAGUACCAAAGCCAAAUGGGAGUUCCCCCGCACAAGGUUAGGCAAGCUACUUACCUCAAAUAAAGCUCAAAUCAAAUUGAAACCACGCUCUUGCAAGGAGUAUCCAACUGUGAGUGGCCCAAUCUAUCAAAUUAAUUACAUAAAGUAAAUAUAGCUAAGUAACUAAUUUAGCUAAUGAAAUCAAAGCUAAGAAAAAAAACUAAAAAAUGCCCAAAACACCUCCUCGGGUCCAUGCCUCAAAAUCGGUUUUAAGUCACAAAUUAUGAAAACCAUUCACUCACGAGAUCACUCGUGCAAAAAUCAUCCAAAUUUGACGCCUAAAUCCCAGUCAAAUCUCAGAUUUUUGGUUGGGGAACUUUUUCCCUAGUUUCCCAACUUCCUAACUCAACUCCUCUAAUUAUAUGAAAAAUAAAACAAUAGAUUAAGGGAAUAUGAUCAAAAAUCGAGUUAGUAUUACUUACUCAAUAGCUCUCCUUCAAAAUUUCUCAAAAAAUUGCCUUCCAGUAAGCUUUAAAUUAAAUUUGUGAUAUGUAUUUCAAACCCUCGAAAAUCUACUUUUCUGCCUAGUGAUUUCUGCUUCUGAUCCUAGGAGCAACUACGAUCCCCCACCUGCAGAAUUUCCAUUGCAGGUGCGGCUUUUAACUUAAUGCACCUCGUCAGCUUCUGCUAUCAAGAUGUCGCACAUGCGCAUGUGCACCUGUGGAUCCUCGUCUACUUCUGUAGCCCAGACCGUUCCUACGUUCCUUUGAUCGCACAUGCGGGUGUCGCAGAUGAAGAUCUCCCCUCGUACCUGUGACCCCGAACAUUCUCCCAAAAUCCACUUUUGUGCUUGGUCGUCCGCGUAUGCGACCAUACACCUGCAGUUCCCCUCCUCAUGUGCGAAAAUACCAUAACCAGCACACCAGAAAAUCCUUUAAUUCCAAUCUUUCACCCAUUGGGCAUCUAAACACACACGAGGGACCCGGGACCUCAACCAAACAUGCCAACCAAUCAUAAAACACUAUAAGAACUUAGUCGAGCCCUCAAAUCACAUCAAACAAUGUUAAAACACAAUUCAUCCUCCAAUCCGAACCAAAUGACCUUGAAACUUUAAAAUUCUACAAUCAAUGGCGAAACCAAUCAAACCACAUCCGAUUGACCCAAAAUAUUACACACAAGGCAUAUUCAAUACGAUAGACCCAAUCCAACUUCUGAAAUCAGACUCCAACCCCGAUAUCAAAAGUUCCACUACUAGCCCAAAAACUCCAAAAAUUCGAGCUUUUCCAUUUCAAUCUUGAAUGAGAUACUGACCUCCAGAACACUAUCCGAAUACGCCUCUAAGCCCAAAAUCACCUAACGGAGCUAACUAAAUCGACGGAACUCCAUUCUGGAGCCGUCUUCAUACUAUUCGAACUACAGUCCAAAUUCUAAGACUUAAGCUCAUAUUUAGGGACUAAAUGUCCCAAAACACUCUAAAACUCCAAAUGAAUCAUCCUGGCAAGUCACAGUAGCAGAAAAAGAUACGGGAAAGUAGUUAAAAGGGGGCGCGUAAAUUUUCAAAACAAUCAUUCGGGUCAUUAUAUUAUCCCCCUCUUAAAACAUUCAAUCAUCCUCGAACAAGCACAAAGACAUACCUGAAGUGGUGAAAAGAUGAGGAUAACAACUGAUCAUAUCCUGCUCAGUCUCCUAAGUUGCCUCCUCGACCGGCUGACUUCAACAACCUAUUAGGGACGGCUUGCCAAGCUACACACGGCUUGCCAAGCUACACAACUCAGAAAACUUUUGUACUAUAACCAACGUUAGUUGUUUAUAGCUCAGAAAACUUUCAUACAACAAUAAGCUAACUUUCUUAGAGUAUUCUUACUCUAUUUUUUCAUACAUGGACCGGCCUUUCCAUCCAUUCGAAAGAAAGAACAAGAGAGAAAUUUAGAAAGCACUCAUAUGUAGUAUAUCACAAAAGAUGUACAAAGGUUACAAGAUGAUUUUAUAUAAAACCUCCUCCACACGCCGCAACAUCUCAAAGGACCAAUAAACCUUGGGCUCAACUUUCCCCUCUUUUUGAAUCUCAUAACGCCCUUCAUAGGCAAAACUCGUAGCAAGACCCGCUCUCCAACAUAAAUGAAACAUCGUGAACCUUCUGAUUCACAUAAUUCCUCUAUCUGGACGGGGCUGUGUGAAAUCUAUCUUGAAUCACCUUAACCUUCUCCAAAGAGUCCUGAACCAAGUUUGUGCCCAACAAUAUAGCCUCGUCUGGCUCAAACCAACCCACUGGGGAUCGAUACCGCCUAUCACACAAAGCCUCAUACAUUGCCAUCUGAAUGAUGGAUUGAUAAUUAUUGUUGUAGGAAAACUCCGCAAGUGGAAAGAACUAAUCCCAAAAAGCUCCAAACUUCAUUACACAUGCAUGGAGCAUAUUCUCAAGAAUUUGAAUAGUGCGGUCAGACUGUCUGUGCGUUUGGGAGUAAAAUGUUGUGCUCAACUCCACCCGACUACCCAACUCAUACUGUAAGGCUCUCUAGAACCGUGAUGUAAAUUAUGUGCCCCGGUCAGAGAUAAAUGGCAUGCUUUGAAGCCUGAUAAUCUCACGGAUAAAAACUCGAGGCAGCUACUCGCAAGAAUAGGUAGUCAUCACAGGAAGGAAAUGAUUUGACUUGGUCAAACUUUCCACAUUCACCCAAUCUACAUCAAACUUACAUUGAGUCUGUGGGAGUCCAACAACAAAAUCCAUAGAUAUUCUCUCCUAUUUCCACUCAAAAAUCUCCAACUUCUGAAGCAAUCUACCCGGCCGCUGAUGCUCAUAAUUCACCUGUUGGUAAUUUAGGCAUUGGAAACAUAUUCCACUAUGUCCUUUUUAACUCUCCUCCACCAAUAACGCUGCCUCAAAUCCUGAUACAUAUUCGUGGCAUCCAGAUGAAUAGAGUACCGGGAAUUGUGAGCCUCUUGGAGAAUCAACUAACGCAAACAAUCUACAUUAGCAUACAUAGCUUGCUCUACAUCCUCAAUGUUCCAUUAGCUACAAUGGUGGCCUCUUUAGCAUCACUGUGUUGAACUAUAUCCCUAAGGACAAGCAGAUAUGGAUCAUCAUAUUGACGCUCCCUGGUACGAUCAUAAAGAGAAGACUAAGAGACCACAUAAGCCAAAACUCGACUCAGCUCAUAAAUAUCCAAUCUAACAAACUUAUUGGCCAAGACCUGAACAUCCAUUGCCAAUGGCCUCUCUACUACUGGUAGAUAUCCUAAGCUCCCCAAACUCUCCGCUCAACGACUCAAGGCAUCAGCUACCACAUUGGCCUUCCCGAAAUAGUAUAGAAUAGUUAUACAAUAGUCCAUACGCAAAUAUAACCACCUAUGCUAAUGCAAGUUAAGAUCCUUCUAUUUGAACAGAUGCUACAAACCCUGGUGAUCGGUGUAGAUCUUACAUGGGAAACCGUACAAAUAGUGCCACAAAAUCUUUAAGGCACUAGCAAUAGUUGUUAACUCAAGGUCAUGGACAUGAUAGUUCUUCUCAUGCACAUUCAUUUGUCUAGAAACGUAGGCAAUAACCCUACUGUCCUACAUCAACACCGUGUCGAGACCAAUCUGAGACGCAUCGCAGUAUAUGAUAUAAGACCCCAAACCUGUAGGUAAUACCAAUAUUGUGGUUGUGGUCAAAGUUGUCUUGAGAUUUUGAACGCUAUCCUCACACUCCUCUAUCCACCUAAAUGGAGCACUCUUCUGGGUCAGCCUGGCCAUAGGUGCCGCAAUAGAUGAGAAACACUCUACAAAUCGGCGGUAAUACCUCGCAAAACCAAGAAAACUCCGGAUCUCCAUCGCUGAGUACGGUCUAGUAAAACUCUACACUACUUUAACCUUCUUAGGAUACAACUUGAUCCCUUCACUUAACACUAUGUGACCCUAAAAUGCCACUGAAUACAUCGAGAACUCACUCUUUAAGAAUUUUGCAUAUAACUUAUUUUCUCUCAAGGUCUGAAGCAUAGUCCUUAGGUGGUGCUCAUGAUCCUACCGACUCAGGGAGUAUACGAGAAUGUCGUUAAUAAACACAAUGAUGAUUAAGUCAAGAUAGGGCCGGAAUACACUGUGCAUCAAAUGCAUGAAUGUUGUUAGGGCAUUAGUCAGCCCAAAUGACAUCACAAGGAACUCAUAGUGACCAUAUCGAGUCCUCAAAUCAGUCUUCGAGAUAUCUGGAUAAAAUCUUCAUCUGAUGAUAGCUUGAACGCAAGCCAAUCUUGGAAAACAUCCAAGCACCUAGUAAUUGAUCAAAUAGGUCAUCCAUGCGAGGCAAUGGAUACUUGUUUUUCACUGUUACUUUGUUCAACUAGCAAUAAUGCGCACAUACUUCUUCUUCCCAAACAAGACUGGGACACCCAAGGUGAUACAUUGGGCCGAAUGAAGCCCUUAUCAAGCAAUUCCUACAACUGUUUCUUCAACGCCUUCAACUCAGAUGAGCCAUACGAUAUGGAGGAAUAGAGUAUAGGCUGAGUGCCCAGCAACAAAUCAAUACCAAAGUCAAUAUCCUUGUUAGAUGGCACGCCAAGAAGAUCAGAUAGAAAUACAUCUGAAUAAUCCCUCACUACAAUAACUAACUUAACUAUAUGGGUAUUAAUACUGACAUCUCUCACAAAAUCUAGAUAUAUGUCACACCCUUCUCAACCAUUCGUUGAGCCUUAGGAAAUGAAAUAGCUCUGCUAGGAAUAUACUCUAAGGUUCCCCUCCACUCUAACUAUGGUAAUCCUAGCAUAGACAACAUCAUUGUCUUGGUGGAUAAUCAAGAAUAACAUAAUGGGGCGACAACAAGACAAUGCCCAAAAUAAUAUCAAAGUCUACCAUUCAGAGUAAUAAAAACCACUAAGAACAACCAAACACAACCGAUACACACGGUCAACAAUAAUAAAAUCUCUUACAGGUGUAGAUACAUAAAUAGAAGAACUGAAAUAAUCGGGGGAUACGCCCAAAUACGGAGCAAAAUAUAAUGAAACAUAGGAAUAAGUGGAGCAUGGAUCAUAUAAGACUGAUGCAUGUCUAUGACAGACCGGAAUAAUACCUAUAAUGACAGAUCCAGAUACAACAGCCUUCGUACGAGUAGGAAGAGCAUAAUAUCUAACUUGGCCUCCCCUUCUAGAGCGACCUUCAACUGCCCAACCUUCACCUCUAUCUGGAUGAGAAGGUGGAGUGGUAGCUGGUGUUGUAAUCAUAGCUUGGGGAACCGAUGGAGCACGCGGUGCCUAAGUAGGCUAUGGAAGUGCACCCCUCCUAAGUUUGGGGAAAUCCCUCACCGUAUGACGAGCGUCGCCACACUCAAACCAAGCUCUCGGAUGGCAUGGUUGUUGCGGCUAGCUCGGGCCAAGUCGGCUGGACUAAUCGCUGAAACUACUCCAUACAUGAGGUGUACUAGAUAAUGGCAGUGCAUAAUCAGAAUCCUGAGGUCUAGAAGUGGUCGAAAUACCAUUGGCAGUUGGAAGUGUUGAAUGAACAGGGUGACUCACAUAGCUCCUACCAUGACAAGCUAUCGACGGGGCACAAGUACCACUAUAAGUUCUGGAGACCUUUUGGCCCAUAUCUCCUCCCUCUCUUGAAUCAACAUACCAUCCUAUAUCCUAGCAAUCCCCACUACCUGCUGGUAUGCGAUGUCCAUCUCCAACUCUCAGGCCAUGCUAAAUCUGAUACUAGGAUUAAUCCCUUUGAUAAAUCAACGGAACCUCUAUCGAACUGCAGCAACCAAGGUUGGUGCAUGUCCAUCCAAGUCACUGAAGCGAACCGCAUACUCUGACACAGUCAUAGAACCCUAACACAACUCCUCAAAAUCUGCAUGCCACGCAUCCCUGAGACUCUAGGGAACAUACUCCCCCAAGAAAAAACCCCGAAAAUACUCCCAUAGUACGGAGGAUACAGUAACACUUCUCAAGAAAAACCUAGGCAUUCUUUAACGACAGUCCAUUGAAAGUAAGAGGGUGGUUCUUCUUGUACCUCUCGAGCCUGAGUUGCUCCUCCUCAGAAACUGCUACCCAACCCUCGGAACAAACUAGGGCUACCGCCUGCACUGGUAUGAUCUCAAGAACCUGGUUGACCUCAACCCACUGCUCUAGGUGCGGGCGGCAAGAAUCUGUGCUCCUCCUCCGGCCUAAGAUGUGGCAGGAUCAAGUGGAAUCCACCUUGCCUGAGCUAAAGUACUGAACAUGCUCAAAAACUGUGAAAGGGUCUCUAGAAGAGUUGAUGCAGUAACAGGCAUCUCAUGUGUCUGCACUCCAACUGGAUCUACUGAUAGCUCCUCUGUAGCAUCUCGUAUGGGUACUCUAGUUGCAUCGUGUGGACGUCAUCGGCCUCUACCCCGACCACGGCCUCUCGUGGCUCUAACAAGGGGGUGCCUCGUCAUCUGAUCUGGAUGUACGUGUCCCCGCCGUCUGUGAGAGAAUAGAAGACAGAAGUUUAGAAUUCUGAAAUCAACAAUUUCGCAUGACAAGGAUUCAAAGAAGUGAAAUUUUCCUAACAGUUCCAUAGCCUUCCGAAGAUAAGUGCAAACGUCUAUGUAAUGAUCAGAGAGACUCUACUAAACCUCUUUGUGACUCAUAACACCUAUGAACCUAGAGCUCUAAUAAAAACUUGUCAUGACCCAAAUCUCUCUCCUUAAGAUGUCGUGACGGCACCUAAUCUCUACGACUAGGUAAACCUAACAACUGCAGAAUAACUAAAAUAAUAAUAAAAUUUAAAAACUAAACUUCAACAAAUUACUAUAUAGCUCAAAAUGUCGCUAGGCAUAACAAGUAAAACCAAUAAUUUCUGAGUAUAAACAUUUCCCCAAAACCUGAUAGUCACAAGUUACAAGCUCUAGGAAUUUGUUCUAACUAUAUCUAUACAUUAGUAACUAGGAGAAAUAAAGUAGGAACAACAUAAAGGAUACAAAGGGAAUCCGAGGUCUGCGGACACUAGCAGAUAUACCUUGAAGUCUCUAAAGCACAGCAAGUACUCACAGCUAAUAGCGGGUCUGGUAAGAGGCACUUGGGUUUGCACACAAAACAUGUGCAGAAGAGUAGCAUGAGUAUACCAGAACGGUACCGAAUAAGUGUCAAGCCUAACUUCGGUAGAGUAAUAACAGGGUCAGGUCAAGGCCCUUCUUGAAUAUAAUAAUCUAAGAUAGAAGAUACAGGAAUAUAAUAAGAGACUGAAAAUUUAACAAGGAGAAGUUUCCAGAAACAUAACAGCACAAUUAUCCCUAUGGAUAAAUAACAACGGCGGUUCUGAGAUAAUGUCUCAUAGUCCCAAAAGUAAAUACUCAAUAAGGGAUCUCCCGAGUUACCGCAUCAUAGUACCAAAAGUAAAUAUGCAGCAGGGAACCUCCCGAGGCACUACCUCGUAAUCCCAAAAGUAAACACAUAGCUCGAAAUCAAUGGCAACAACAAUUAACAGCAAGAAAUCCUACAGUUUAAGACUAAAUACAAGUCAAGGAAAAGUAGGAAAUCAACUAAGCAUGUUGCAUAGAUUGCGAAUAAGAAUUUAGGAUAUGUAGACAUGUGAUAUUAGUUGAACAUGAGAACUACACAUUAUGGAAUAACUCAUUUAAGAUAUAACAAGUUAUAGUUCACUAUAAAACUAUAUUUUACAAUAAUUAGUGCGUGUAUUCACUCGUCACCUCGCGUACACAACACUCACAUAUCGUAGAAAUGUCACAACAGUACCAAAUCCUAUGGGGAUUUCCCCUACACAAGGUUAGGCAAGCUUAAUGAACUUUUAAACUUCAAACUUCUACAACCGAUGUCGAAACCUACCAAAUCACGCCCGAUUGACCUCAAAUUUUGCACACAAAUUAUAUUUGACAUUACGUACCUACUUCAAUUUUCGGAAUCAAAAUCCGAUCCCGAUAUCGAGAAGUUCACUCCCGAUCAAACUUCCCGAAGAUUCAACUUUCGUCAUUUCAAGCCUAAUUCAACUACGGACCUCCAAAUCACAAUCCGAACACACUCCUUAUACCAAAGUCUAUCCAACGGAGCUAACAAAACCAACGAAACUUCAUUCCGAAUUCGUUUUCACACAGUACCAACUACGGUCAGAUUCCUAGAACUUAAGUUUCCAUUUUAGGGACUAAGUUUAUCAUUUCACUCCAAAACCAAAACCAAAACCUCCCGACAAGUCACAUAAGAAUAAAAUGAUACCAGGAAUGCAAUAAAUAGGGAACAAGGCUAAUACUCUAAAAUGAUCGACCAAAUCGUUACAUAUGAAUAACUAUUGUUUUUAUCCAUUUUGCUACCGCGACAAGAAAGGUUAGGGGUCGCAAGAACUAAACAUUUUUAUCAUUAAGGACAUUCAACCUUAAAGGUUGUAACUCAAUAAUCCUCGUUUUGCAAUCCUUACAAAAAAAAAAGUUAAUAAAGAACUUCUUAUUCAUAACUAAAGUGAAAAUGCGUAUCUCCGGAAAAAUGCUUACUGGUAUCAAGUGUUUAUAUUUUAGAAAAAACAUAAUUUAAUUUGUUCAUGUAAAGCAGAUGGGAUUGUUCUUCUCUUAACUAAAGUCUCGAGUUUAAAUCCUAGGUAUUAAAAAAAUUUUGAUAGGGAGCCAGUCCUCCCGAAUGGUGCCCAAUGCAGCACAAAUUUAGGUAUAGUCGGGCUCUGCGAGUACCGGACACGAGCGGAGAACCCAAAGAAAAAUUAAUAUAGAAAACACAUAUCUGACAUAUUGCGAAGUCAAAUCCACAAAGUUCCAAAGUCCAAAUGAUUAUAAACGAGUCCAACCUUGCCGAUUUGGAGGACAUGGGAAGUCAUUAUCAACUUACUUCAGAUACAAGAUAAACUUACUGCUUUGCGAAAAAGCUCGUGUAAAAAAGAAAAAAUAAAUAAAAUGUGAGCAUAGACAGGUCAUCAUAUUUGUGAAUCCCCCUAGCUAGUAUAUAGCAUGGCCACAAUAGUGUGAAAAUUGGGAAAGCAUCAACGGAUUCAGAAUUUUUAAGUCGUAUUUAACUGCCUUAAAUCUCCAAGUACAAUUGGGGUAUAUUGUAAGCCUGUAAAAUUCAUUGGGGGUGUCUGUACGAAGUUGCAAUGCUUACUUCAAAGUUCAAACAUACCAAAACAUGCUUACUUCACCCUCUAUAACAUUAAAUCCCAAAAUCAAUUAUAUUACAAUUUUAUCCCAACCAAAUAUAAAAUAAACUCAUUUCACAUUUAAUACCAAAAUUAAUUAUCCACUUGUACCAAACAAGUAAUUAAUGUUGCUUGAACUUAAACUCCAAGAGAGCACAAUAGAUUUAAGAUGGUUACUGCUUUGACAGGAAGAAAGUUUUACUCCGCAACAUCACCAAACAUCCAUUAAAGUAAAGUUACAGAUAAAGGCAGACAUGUUACUUUUUGAUCCUCAAAAUAAGAAGGAUAAACCAAAAGCAGAAAAAAUUUAACUGCUACACUAUCAAUAGCACACCACCUCCAUUCCUCAAAAACUUAUUCAACACAUCAGAUUAUAUGACCACACAUACCCAUGGCGGCGUGCCACCCGAUCCAUAUAUAUAUAUAUAUGUGAUAUUAGUUGAACAUGAGAACUACACNNNNNNNNNNNNNNNNNNNNNNNNNNNNNNNNNNNNNNNNNNNNNNNNNNNNNNNNNNNNNNNNNNNNNNNNNNNNNNNNNNNNNNNNNNNNNNNNNNNNNNNNNNNNNNNNNNNNNNNNNNNNNNNNNNNNNNNNNNNNNNNNNNNNNNNNNNNNNNNNNNNNNNNNNNNNNNNNNNNNNNNNNNNNNNNNNNNNNNNNNNNNNNNNNNNNNNNNNNNNNNNNAUAUAUAUAUAUAUAUAUAUAUAUAUAUAUAUAUAUAUAUAUAUAUACCAAUUCUUUUCCAGCGACAACAUUCCAAACAUCCCAAAAUAUCCCCAACGAUAGUUCAAACGAACAAGAUACUAUUGUCCUAACAAAAUCCAAAGCAUAACAAUCAAAGCAGUAAGAAUGUGCUGUUUUUGCAGUCUCUUUUUGUCUUCGCUUA